GAUGGAAGGGCCAUAUCGCCUUAUAGUAUAAAUACUAUCCGUAAAUAAACUUCCGAUCCGUUACGAUGGAUCCUCUGACGCAGGAGGCUUGCUUCGCUUUCAGGACUGCCUCCAUCGAUCAUGUUAGGAAAUUAAAGCCUCUGCCUUUUGUGAUAUGGGUAUUUUCUACUCCCUCCGUUCCAAAUUAUAGGUCGUUUUGACUUUUCUAGAUACAUAGAUAUUAUUAUGUAUCUAGACAUAGGGUAUAUCUAAGUGCAUAACAAAGUCUAUGAAUCUAAUAAAGUUAAAACGACCUAUAAUUUGGGACGGAGGGAGUAGCUGCUUAGCAGGGAGAUGAUCGUGUAUAGUAUGUUUGUGUACCACCCUAGAGGAGGUUUGUGCCCCUAAUGACCACAUGGUUUGCUAAUAAGCACAGAACUGAGUAACCUUGUGUUGGUAUACUAUGCAUACGCACACUAGUGAUGUGUUUACCUCAAGAUCCUCUUUUCCCUUGUGAUGAAAUGAUGCGGACUGUUACGGUGGAGUGCUUAUAAAUAUAUUUCUCAAUGUACUAUAUUAUUCGUCGAAAAAAAAAAUAACUGUGGGCCAACCAUCACGUCAACACACCAGGCUGCAAGCCCAUGCCACUCGCUAGGCCCAAAUACAGGUAAUUUAAAUGGCAGGCUAAACUCACAUUUGCUUGUCGGCGCAUAAGACUGACGAGACCCUGAAAAUGUUGGAUUCAUAGUCUCAAUAUAGCAACAUCAUGCAUGCGAAUAUUCUUUCACCUUAUCUUUCUGCUCUUUGAAGCACCGCGAUCAACAAGCUUUCUCUAUUUCACCUGCUGCUUCUGUAGAGCAUAAAAAGCCGACUCUGCAUGCAUGGAAAGGAAUUUGGCAGGUGUUUAAGGUGAUAGUAGAAACAUAUACAUUUCUUACAAAUAUUGGAACAGUAACAUGUUAAAAAAAACUUGAAUGAAAUUACCAUAGAAGAAUCAAAAACAUGUAUCUUUUGCCAGAUGAACCAAAUUUUGGUGUGUGCAUUGAUAUAGAUAUAAACAACAAAACAAAUUCAAAUUGCAACAGAAAUUUAAGACUAAUCUGCUAGAUAACCAGAGCUGACAGAGACUCUUUCUGCCAGCAGUAAGUAUCUGAGAAUUUAAUGUCUUUUGCCUGGGCAGGCCAAUGCGUGUAGAUAUAAAUAACAAUAAGCCCAAUAGCUGAAAAUGAACUAACCUGAUGCUCCUCUAUCACAUGACUCAAGAAACUCUUUGAGAAGUUGAUGAUAAAACUCAGAAUCAUCAAUAAGUUCAGGAUCACCUUCUACUAUGUGCCCCUAAUAAGUUACAGCAAGAAGGAGAAAUGAGGCCAGCAAAUGCAAUCCACAUAUAUAUCGUCUAACUGGAUAAACAAAAACAUUCUGAUAUCAAAGUUUAUGUGUCAUCUCAAAGGAAGAAAUGAACUACAAACUGUAAAAUUUCAGUAGUUUCAAGGAGACGCAGGUAGAUUUGAAUGAAUUUCAAGAGAAUGAGUAAAAUUCUCAAACCUCAGCUGCUCCAGGUUCUCCAGCAUCCUGAAAUGUAAAUGGCAAAAGUAACAUGCUAAUAGUUAACAAGGUGCGCAAAUAUGAUCGGUGGUCCUUUAUGCUAUGCAUCAAAAAUACCUCUCCGAAUACACUAACAGCAGAUUUGGUCAAGUGCAUCCUGUUAAUCAUUCGGCUUGGAUCUCUCAUGUAACCAGCAACUUGGUCACUUUGUUCUGUUCUCAUACAAGGGGAAAGAGUAGAGGCUUUAGAUCUAGACUUUUAAACAGUAAGAAAAUACCCAAAGUAGCUAAAUAAGUAUUCAGGCAACCUGAUUAAAUGCGUGCAGCUUUCCUUUCAGUGCAGCAGCACCCGUCGUCACCUGUUUUUCUUUUCUUUUCAAGCACUGAUGAUUAAUAAUGCAAAGUUUACCUUGUCUGCAAUCGCCGUACUUCUGACCACUCAUCAUUCUCUUCAUUUCAAGCAGCAGGGAUUUCUGACAUCAAGUCAAGUAUUUUUUUUUAACGAACCGCACAAGAUAGUGCGUGUUUCAUUGAUAUAGCAGAAAAAUACUACAGCCCUGGGAGGCCACAGGCAAGAAAAGGAAAUGAAAAGAAAAACAAAACAGACUCGCCCGGUUGGAUUGGGACAUCAACGCGGGUAACCACUCAACUCCAAACCGCCACACCAGACUAGAUGGAUUGGGACGUCAACGCGGCCUCACCACUCCACUCACCAUGGCGGCAUCCACCAACAUUCACGCUCAUGUAUUCGCCGAAACCUCUAGGCGUGGCCCUGCAUCGACAGGGAACCGAUAGAAGCAGACUGCACCACACCGAGAGGGUCACCGCCAUGCGGGACCCUCCAUUGUAGUGCCGUUGCAGCACCACACUCCACCUGACAGAGUGAUACCACCAAAUUCGGACCUUUCGCAGGCUGCCUCGCAGUCGCCACCACGAUAACACAAUGCGUGGGGGCCUCGCCACAUCCGCCAUUAGACUCCACCUCGCUCUCGUCACCUCAAAGAAACACCGCGCACGAGGGCCUUGCCACGCUCGCCACAGUACUCCACGUCACAGAUCCGUUUCUUUUCUCGCCAUCAGAGUGGUGAGCAAUGUUGCCCCGCUCCACAAGAUCUCCAUCGAUCAGCCAAGCAGCCGCCACCACAGGUCAACUUCACCUCGUUACUUCACCCACGCAAAAGUCUCCGCCACCAUGUCAGCAAGCCAGAGAAGUCGCUUGCGCCGUCUUCCGACGAUAUACCGCACCGGGUAGCCCAGCCAAGCUGAGCAACCCGCCAUGGUUCGCUGCAAGCCUAGUUGUCCCACGAUGCCGUAGCCGCAAGCGCCAUCCUCCGACGCAGUCCCACGCCAGCCGCCACGGUCCGCUGCAAGUAGCCAAGACUGCGACUAUGUGACAACCCCUGGCCGCCACCAUAACUGCGAUCGCCUCCAUGUGGCCUCAACAACACCCGUCCAGCUUACCACGCGACGGAAUUGCCGCCACCAGCUGCGGUCGCCCAUGACCAAUGGACUAGCAAUGCCACAAACCGAGAUGAGUAUCUAGAGACGACACCUUCAAGGAGGGCACGACGCCAAUGGCGCCGCCGUCGCUCGUCCAGGAUCUAGACAGAAUUUUCACCCAGAGGAUCCCGUGUAGCAUGGUUGUAGCUCAGACAUGACAGCCCCAACGGGGAGAACGAUGCCCUAGGGUGCCGCCGUCAUCUCCACCAACAAGAACACCAGCGCAAGCUUUCACCUGAAGCAUCCCAACCACUCGCUGCACGCUCACGGCUCGGCACUCCCGAACCACAAUCACGGUAGCCCAUCCGGGGCGGCGUCGCCGCCGCGCCUCCACGCACCACACCGCCGUACCCCCACUCCUCGCACGCGGCCACCGUCACACCACCUCACCAUCACGCGUCGUCGGGCGUCUCCUUGAAGCGUUGCCACCUUACGCACAUGCCUCGCCGCGUGAGCCCCCACCAGCGCCUAGCCGCCUCCCUCUCCCGCGCCGCCUCCGCAACUCCCCAGCUGAGGAGAGGUGGCCCGACGACGCCCGCAGCACCACCUCGGUGCCACCAGUGCGCCCCUGACCAGGCGUCCUUGCCGCGCCUCCAUGGUGUCACUGGCACGCCUUGCACAGGCCACCUCGGCUGCGACACCACACCGCCACCAUUGAAGACACAGUAGCUGCCGUGUCACGCAGGCGGGAGAAGAGGAAUCCGCGGCCGCUGUUGCCGCUAGCCCCGAGCAGCUGCGUGCGCCAAACCUAGGUCUCGGCCACGGUCCUUGCGCCACGCUCGCUCCACGCUCCCCGCCAGCCUAUCGCUCGCCCCACAUUUGGCCGAGACCGCGCUGCCGCCGUGCAGCCACACGCCGGACCGGCCGCCCUCCGUCCACUACCGCUGGCCGGUCCGCUCCUUCGAUAGGCUGCGCGCCGUCGCGCACGCGCGGCCUCCGCUUCCUCAAUCAGCUGCCGUUGUUCCUGCACGGGGCUGCCGCCGCGUCAUCGGCCCCCUCCUCCCGCAGCCGCACUUGGCCACUGCCUCCGCGGCCUCCUAGAUCCGCCUGGGCGAGCCGCCGUGGUUGCCGCAUCUCCUCCCCUCACGCAGCGCGCUGCUGGGCCGGCCAUCGCCUCCUCACCUCUACGCUCGGGUCCAACCUCCGCCUCCCCGAGCUGCCACCUUGACCGUGGCAGCACUCGCCUAAGAGGCCCGUCGCCGACCGUCGCCCCCCGCGCCUCAGGGACCAAUCGCCUCGGGGGCCUGUCGCCGACCAUCGCCCCUCGGCGGCGGCGGAUCCGGCCUCAGGCACACCGGAUCCGCACCCGCCGGUGCCGGAUCUGGCCAUCCUCGCCGGCGCCGCCACGGGCUGCUCCUCCGACGAUCGAGGCGGCCACGCUCGCCUAGCCACGAAGGAGGGGAAAAAGGUCACCCCACCGCCGCCGUCAUUGCGGGCCUCUCAGCCUUUCGGCGGCCGACUCGAGCGGCAGCCUGGCGAAGGGAAGGGAGAAGGGAGGGAGUGGGAGGUGGGGCGGUGUUCGCCCGCCCGUGUCGCCCACGCGGGGGUUCUUAAUGUUUCGCUAUCAAGUCAAGUAUUAUGAACAUAUAUAAAUGGCAUGCCACAGUUUUUACAGUACAACAAGACUGUUUGGAGAGUAGGAAUACCAUUGGCAUCCUGAUUAGUCUCCAGCAAAGCCUAUAGGUAGUCUCAGAGAAAUACAGUAAGAAAUCCUUCAACCAUAUUGAUCAAAAACCAUAGCAUUGAAGGAAAUAUAAGGUAUGCAACUAACAGAACCUCCUGCAGUUUCAUCAUGCUACCCAGAGUCUGCUUUGACGAAUCGAACAAGUCCCUAUAGGCUUGCUCUACCUCCUUAUCGUGAUUGCAAAACCUUGCCUUGAUGAGCUCCUUCAAGAGAUCACAAUCAGAAUAAAUUUGAGCUUAGGAUUCAACCUAGUGAAAAUCCUGCAUCAGAAAGGGGAGCGGUUAUGGGGGGAAAACAAGGAGAUGCUUGCUGCAGCAAUCAGGGAGUGAGACCUGGGGCAACUUGCUUGUUAGAAGUGGAGAAUGCUUUCUGCAGCAAGAAUCCCAUCUCCAGAGUCUUGUCCCAUAUCGCCUUCAGGAACAUAGCUCGAAAGGUGAGAAUUUUAAAAGCAAAUAUAUCUAGCACACUGACGCAACGCUGUCGAGUUAACAAGGAAAGCAAAGGAAGGUAGAAGGAGGCUCCGCACCUUCUGUUGUUUACCGCGCGCCCUCUCAAGGCAUCCUCCUCCCUGUGCUGGUUCAUCAUCUUCAAGCUCUCUCUACACACGGGGCGAGCUUCAGUUCAAGAAUGCCCAAAUAUUUUUUGGGUCCCCUUGGCUAGGUUGAUCUCGACCCCUACAACGAACUGAUUAACUGAACCAGGGGAUAGGGUUUUGAGUGUUCGAUUUCGCACAGCAGGAAGGGAAGGGAAGGAAACGUAAUAGGCGGGCAGACCUGUCGGAUGCUCGUCGGCUCGUCGCCGGCGAAGACCUGGCCAAGGUGACGGCUCGCCCUGUCGCCGCCGCUAGGAAAGAAAGGCCGAGGGUGGUGAGGAGCGAGAAAGGCGGGCCUUCAUCCUGGGCCGGAAGGCCUGGGCGACUAUGCUCGCGCAGUCGGGUGGGCCGAUGGAGUGAAUCGGCCCAAUGACAAUUUGAUUAUGAAAUUUAAAUCUAAAGGAAUAAUAUUUAGGAGGUUAAGAGGAUAAAGUGUAUUUUUAAGGGUAGUAAAAUGAUUUUUCACCCUACUUAAUAACUUUUGAACCGUCGUCAGUUUGAGCGGCGACACUGUCACACCUUCAUCACCAAAUCUCAAGUAUUUUAGGUUCAGAAGCAUCGCGGUUUGUUCAUCAUAAAAUCUUAAGUGAUCAAAACAUCUUCAUUUUCUCCGUAUCUACAUGGUGUGUCCAGAAUAAUAAACUAGUUCUUCUGGCUUCUCGUUUUCUUUAAAAAAGCAGCUCCAUCGUCAUCUCGAGGGUUCCACAAAAUUUAACAGCGUGACAUUUCCUCUUGGACUUCUUGUUAGGAAAAGGAAGCAGAAGCAGUGAUUUACAAAUUCUACAAACACAGCCACGCACAGGCGCUGACAAUCUCUAAACUGCAGUUACAGCUCAGUAAUUCACCAGCAAAACUGACAAUGAAAGUUGCAGUUUUUCUUUCACACGAAAAUGCAGGCAUUUGAGUGGCCUUAAACCGUUCCUUUUCUUCUCCUUUCUCAGAAAGAAAGAGACCUCAUUCCCUAGUACUCUGUUCUAGUCGGCAAAGACCUUGUCUUCGAGCUGGAAGGCCUUGGUGAAGAAGGCCGGCCAGCAGAGGUAGGUGGAGAGGAUGCUGCUGACAGUGGAGGCACCCAUGAGCAUGUUCAUCACCACGAUCUGCAGCUGGAUGGCCUCCAGCGGCGACGCGCCGCCCAUGAUGAGCCCCGUCAUGGCGCCCGGCAGCGCGAUCAGCCCCACCGUCUUGGCGUUGUCGAUCACCGGGGACAGCGCGAUCACCAGCGACCUCUUCACCUGCUGCAGUGUCGCCUGACGCGGCGUCGCACCCAGAGCAAGUGCAGUCUCCACCUGCAGAGAGGAGGGAAAAAAAAUAAGAUGCCAAUGAAUCUUCUCCAUGCUCUAGUUGCAAACAGAACAUUAUAGAUUCUCAACAUCAGCAGGCUGAUGGUGGUGUUCAUCAGUCGUCACCCAAUUGAAGUCAGCUCUGUCGUGUCGUGCAACUGAUCAGCCUAAUUGACUAAUUAUUAAGUGCAUUAUGAGCCAGUCAGAGCUGUUCCUGAUGUAACAGCUUCUGACUUUCUUGUCCUUGCAGUAGUGCAAUUCUUGGGUGUCUCAGGACGAAGAAGAAUUAGACAAGCAAAUGGGCUAAAAAAAAUAAGAAUUAAGCAGUAAACAAGUGGGGAGGGGGAUCCAAAUAAGCUCGGAGCUGACCAGGUUCCUCUGGAUCUUGACGUCCUCCCUGAGCUUCUUCAUGGUGACGCCGGUGACGGUCAUGGCGUUGCCGACCAUCAUGCCGGCGACGGGUAUGAUGUAGCGGGGCGUGAAGGGGAAGACGUUGAGCACGACGAGCAGGAACAUGGUGAUGGCGGUGCCGACCAGGAUGGAGACGCAGGCGAUGUACUUCCCGCGGGGGACCUGCUUCGCGCGUUGGCCCGCCGUGUAGCCCGCAACCGUCACCUGCACGACGUGUUCGAGGUGCUGUCAGCCACGUUGAACGCGGGGCUAUGGACAUUUGAGCGGUUCCAUGUGCCAAUCACAGUGACUAACGAAUCUGAAUUGAAACCAAAUGCAGAAAUUAUGGUGAGUGGGACUGUGAGAGUGACCCAUUGUUGAGAGCUUGUUAGUGCUGAUGACCUGAAUUAUUGAGAUGAUGGGGUAAUUUGCUUUGACUGGGAUCAAACUGGACGAAAUCGAUCAUUUGUCUUGUACUUGGGGGACGAUGAAUUCAGUAGCAGCGAUGUCUGUCAGCAAUGGAUCUGUGUGAUUACCAUGAAGAGGUAGGCGAGGAGGAUCCAGAGCGCGUUCUUCUGGGUGAAGAUGAACUGGAGGACGAAGCCGAUGAUGGAGAGCUGGAGGAAGGCGCGCGCGAUGGCGUAGAGCAUCUCGCCCUCGAGCCCCAGGCGCUGCGAGAAGCUGAGCGCGACGGCCAUGGCCACCACGGCCGUGGCCGCCACCGGCUUGAGCAUGCCCACCAGGAAGUCCCGCCAGAACCCCGGCGCGCCCGGGUCCACCUGCUUCGCCACCAGCUCCAGGAACGCCGCCGCGCGCUCCAUCACUGGCCGGGUGGAACGGAGCCUCCUCUGCCGACGCGGGGUGCAAAACGCAGUUGUCAGUCGGCCAAGAAAGCAGGGCCUCAGCGGUGGGGUCUUGAGGAGGAGGGAGGUGGUGGCGGCGGUGGGGGAAGGGGGGAAGUGAGGCAGGCGGCGGCGCGGUGGAGGUGGAGGCUGGUGAGGUGCGGGACCGUACGGCUUUGUACCGUAGCGGAGCACGCGCUCCCCUGGGCAAAGUCUUCCUGCGGCUUUGCCUUCCCGGUGCGACGUGGGGAAGGCUGGGGAUCCCGAGAGACACAUACGACCGGUGAUGUCCGCCGCGGCCCCACAUGGCGGCGUGCUACCGCACCAGUGGCGCAUGUGCCAGCAGGUAAGGUACGUCCGGGUCCAAGCGCGGUCAACUCGGCGUCGCCGGCCGGAGGCAGGCGACGGCGGACACGUGCCACCCACGUGUCCUAACCGGUAGGCGGCUAGGCGCAUCGCCCACGCAGGCCUGCCUCGGUGCCGUGCGUGUGCGUGAGGCCGGCCGCCGGUGGCUUUUCCGUGCAGAAAGCUGAUCGAUCCGUUCAGUCUUCAGUGGAGGUCACGAUAAAAAGGCACUCAGAGCAAGCAGGCCAAAAGAUACGCUGAUAUGUGGGAUGCCCACUUCCCUAAGCAUCAGACUCCUGUUCACAAACGCUUUGUAAACAAAUCAAUCAACCUUGGGAGUUGGGACAUCCUCAGCAUCAUCAAACCUUGAUCUACAGAACACAGCAAAUCGUCAAGAACAGAACCCACCCUUCUUCUGGUUGAGGCUCCAUCUGCUGUCAAGCAUUUUCAGUGGCCUCCUGGCUCCUGCACAUGCCACCGCAAAUCCAGGCUCAUGGAUUCCUAUUAUAAAAUAACAAGACGCCAGCCAAACAAAGAUAUCAGCCAUCAUGUCAGAUGGGACACUUGGAACAAACUAAUCAUGGCGCAGUCAAGUUAAGCCAGCAUGAAUCAUGACACUUUUCAUAAUCCAGAAAACAGGCCAGAGACCUCUCAGCUCUUGAUGCCCAGCUGCAUCACCUCAAAAAUUCUACUGCCAUCUAGACAGAAUCCAUCCGGGACAAGAGUUUUCAAGUACCAUACUUGAGACGAAUAUGCAGUAUACUGCGAUUAUCUUUUUCUAAAGCAAGUAAACAAAAUGUAGACCAAUGAGAUCCCUCAAACAAGAACUCUUAGAACAGUUAGCCUGCUAAACCGAGCGGUUUCUUAACCAUGGUGGAGCGCAGAUGUAUCAAAGCUAUUUGCUAUCCUUGUUCUUGCCGUCCCCGGGCUUCUUGUAAGAUUCUUCAAGUUUUUUCGCCUCGCCCAUCAGGCCCUUCAUAAAAAGCUUUAUGUUUGGGACGUUGUAGUUCUGAGCGAUGUAGAUGCCGCAGCCGGUGCCGAUCAGCAAGGAGAAAGUGCUUUGCAGGAACCCCAUCAGAACUGACCUGCAGGGAGGAAAAACAAAGAAAAGGUUGUAAAUAAAAUGAGCAACUAUGAGAUACUGAGCUCAAUCUAACUUGACAAAUCGAUGCAGCAUAUUAAGGAGGAUUCCCCAAAUACCUAAACAAGCUCUGAGAAUAGUUUUUCUUUGAGGGCUGAGUAGUUAGGAUUAGGAGCUGUGUAUCAAUUAGCAAACUAAAAAAUGCACAUGUGCUGCUGAAGUUCUGACUUUAUUGUAUUAUUUCAGAGUAAAUAGCAUGACAAGGAACCAGUAAAAUUUGGUAACAAACAAAAUUUUCUUAUUUUGAUCCUAUUAUUAACGUUUUCCAUCAACAACAGCAAGUUAUCCACCUUUAUGCGCACAACAACAUAUUAUCUGAAGAACAGCGAAACAAAUCAAACAUGAAUUAAAUUGCUAGAAAUUGAUUGCUCUGAUUAUACCAUAUUAAGUUUCAGAAUCAACUAUAACUUCUCAUCAUAACUGUAAAGGCUAGAGUUAUAAACAGACAAUUUUAGCAGCAAAAAUAUUGUUCUGAAAGCACAGACGAAUCAAACAAAAAACAGUAUGGCCAUACAUGCGCACAUACUAGCAACUACGUGUUUCAACCAUAUAAUGAGAAAUAAUCAAAAGGCCUGCCCGAAUUCCUCAUGCACCAUGUUAAGGCCUUUUAACAACUCAAGAUUCGCCUUAGAUCAGACCAGGGACAAAGACUACAAAACGGAGUGGCAGGAGGCAACCAAACUAAAUUAAUGCCCCUCCAUGCCUCCAAAUGUUAAAGACUCCAUGAGAAACUGGAUAGAUUCCCCUUCUUCAAUGGUAUAUACAUAGGCAUAUAGCUUUUCAGUAAGCCAAUCAAAAAGUAAGAUGCAGUAAACUAAACCAGUUUCACAGAAGACAGAACCUCCUAAUCAAAUAGUUCAUUAACCUGAGCACUGAAUGCCUAUCAAACUACUGCUAGUGCCUCGAAUUUCCAAUGUUAAUCCAAUAUCCAAAGUUCCUCUGUUUACCCCCACUCCAAGGUCUAUAAAUCUAUUCCUUAUUGUGAAUCAAAUCAAACUACCAGAAAAAUGCAGGCAUACUAGUUUAACUUGGCUGAAGCUGAAACUGAAGUACCCCGCAUCUCCGAAAUCGAUUUCACAUUCUCAAACCAGAUCUACACAAGCUGACAGAACUUCAACACCAAAGGAGCGACAGCCCAUGAUCAGGAUUAUUCUGCAAUAUUGCAAUACGUGUUACUCCUCGCACAAACAAGCAAAAAAGAAGUACUCUACAUUGCAGCACCGAACAGCACAAUUGACAAAAGUAUUAGGGAAAAGCUACCAUGACUACAGUCAGCUAGGAAGGAUCUGUUUGGGAGCUCAUAGGCAACAGCCUGUAGAAAUUUUAACUAGAUUUGCACUAAUUGCUCCGGAUCAGCUAAAUCACGGUGAGCAAACUAAGUUAACAGUGAAACACCACAGCAAACAAAGCAGGAUAAUGGUUAUUUACUCCUAAAAAAGUGAGAUUAAUCUACAUUGCAUCACCGAACAACACAAUUGCCGCAGGUACUAGGGCCAACUGGCUAAGCUGCGAGACAGCAAUCGGCUAGGGAAUAACAGAUUUUUCACUAGAUUUGAACUAAUUGCCCGGCGAAUCGAACAAAUCAUGCAGAAACCAACUGAUUGACCUAGCAAUCAGCAGCUGAAGCUCGAGAUCAGCGCACCAAAAAUCGACUUCCGCCUCGGAUCAAUCAGCAUCUACGAACGGCCCCCGGACUAAGGAGAGCAGCCGCAGCAAGGGGAGGAAAGAGGUGAGGCUUUUUUACCUUGGGGGAAGAAGAACCCGAUCGCUCUGGCGUGCGUGCGGCGGAAGCGGGGUUGGGAGCCGAGGUGCCGAGGGAUCCGGCGACGGGCGCGAUCGAGGACGAGGAACGGCUGCGGAUUGCUUGGAGCCCGGCGAUCGAUCGGCCUCAUUACCAGCCGUGUCCAAGUCCAAGCCGACUUCCUACAACACCAUGGGCCUUUUGUUUGUUUCAGCGGCUACACAUUGGGCUUAAUAUGGGCUUGGUUUGGAUCGGCUCCCUAUAUGGGCCACGACUUUUGUUCGGUGGGCCGAUUCGACUCGUGUCGUGGUUAUUGCUGCUCCCGGUUGUUUCCCACUGUAUAUUUUCCUACGCUCUCAAAAAAAAUUGUAUUUUCUCCUCUAUUACUUUCCUUCAAGAAGAAGAAAACCCGUGAUGAUCCAUGCGUCUUUAUUUCCCCAAGUACGCACGCAUGAAAAAAUAUUUUUUCCGUAAUAAAUGUUUAAAAAUAUGGAAAAUUUAUUAUCAAGAUUCAAAAUUUUCACAUUUAUUUUUUUACUAAUAAAACCUCCAUUCUCCAUGCAGUAUUUUGUAAACUUAAGAAUACAAUUUGUUAACGUACUAACCGUGCGAGGGAUAAUGAUGAUUAAGCGGCUAAUAAGCCACAAACGACCAGCCAAAUUAAACAUGCCGUAUUGUUGUCGUCUAAUCGGUCCUUGCUAUUAGAAAUGCGUGGCCCUGGAUUAAUUGGAGGCAUCCUAGCUAGCAGCCGUACAUCUGUACGUCAGAACAAUUCCUUUUCGAAGAUCUGUACGUACGAACAUGCACGCACGUACUUUGCAAAAUGUCGUCGGGGGUAUACACGUACUCGGCCCGGAUAUAUGCCAACUUUGCUAGCUUGAUUAAGGAAUAUACUAAUGCUAAGAUGGAAAUUACUUGUUAACUGUAGGAAGGAAACAUGGAUUAACAUUUUUUUUAUUAUAAGGAAGGAUUAACAUCGAUAUCUGAUCGGAUCACCAAAUUGGGAACCUUUGGCGACGCGUGUAUGCAUGGAAAUGUUAUAUGAUCGGAAUCAUGAAUGAACCAAUCGUCAUCGUCAUGCACUCCGGUGACUAUCUGCCAAACGCCGCCGCCGCCGCCGCCGCCGCCGCAGCACCCAUCAAGCUUCUCCCACCACCCGGAGUUCCGAUCCGGCUCUGGAGGCUGGAGCAACCAACAACCUAGCUCCUGCACGAAUGUACAAGCAAGUCUGGCCUUGCAACCUUGCUCGUUUCUUAAUCAAAUCAGUGCGUGCUAGCACUACUUGCUUGCGCGUGUCUCAGAUUCAAAUCGAGAGAAGAAUAGCUAGAACAUCAGAAAAAAAAAGUCAAUUUGACUUGCGAUCGAGGCUACCGGAGACAUUGUCUAAUAAUGUGUACCGAUUACUGUUGGAGAUGUCAUAGCGCAACAGUUUUUUUUUCCCGUAUGCUUUAGUUUGUAUAGUUGCAUUGUCCGUAUACUCUUUUAUCGUUGCAUUUUUACCGUGGCUAUUUUUACAAAUAUAAUGGCACUAUAAUUUAAACAUGAAAAGUUUUACUCCUACUAGGAACUAUAUAACCGUGAGUCACUUGCAAAUCACCACCAGGACAAGAUUGCAUAUUUUGCGUUGUGCAUCUGAAAACUGAGUAGAUCAUUUAAUUUGGGGCUGAAUAAUCUGUCUUUUGUAGUUAUAUUCUCAAGAGCAGUGCAUAUAUAUAACAAUGAAUCUUACGUUUUGGUGCUGCUUUUAUUUUAGUCCAAAAUAAGUUAAUUAGCUUCUGAAGAGAACAAUUUUAGCUACAUGCAAAAAUUACCUAGAAAAUAUUUGAAACGGCAGAGUUCAUGCAAGGUUGAAUUUUUUAUGAGAAUUUAAAACAAAAGUCAACACACACACAAAGGGGGGUGGAGAGGGGGGGGGGAGAGAGAGAGAGAGAGAGAGAGAGAGAGAGAGAGAGAGAGAGAGAGAGGAUAAUGAAAGAUCAGUUGGAGGUUGGGAGUUGGGGGACCAUGCAAGGAACAUUCCAUUUCAUCAUACACUUAGUUUGAUCUCCCUCUCCACCAGUUAAUGAGCUCUGCAAAGCCUAGCUACCCAGCUAAAAGCAUCAGAAGAAGCUGCAACAUCCCAUACUGCAUGCCUAGCUACGCACGUACGUACGGUCACAUUCCAUGAGGACCAUAACUCACUAAGCAAUCAAUGCACAUCAUCCCGGCCUCUUCUACUCUAGCUGCUACUACUACUCUCCAGUAGACGUGCACUGAUCUCUAAAAACCUAAGUACACUCUCUAGAACGAACAAGAAGACGACGACGACGACGACAUUAGCUAAGGAGCUAGGGGCGAGCUAAUGAAGAAGAUCAAGUCAUGUCAGUGUACUACUGCAUGACAUGACAGAUUAAUUGACUAAUAAGAUCGCUAUAGCUUGAUCGAGACGAGAGCGCUAGUGUUUGUUUGGUCAAUCAAGCCACGUCGUGCUGCUCUUCCUUGAGCCCGCCGGGAAAGAGGUCUAGCGUCUUGAGCGGCCGGCAGAAGGCCGCCGGCGGCGGCGCCACCUCGAACCCCGGCGGCGCCAUGUCGGCGGCGGCGGCGGCGGCGGAGCUCACUACCACGUCGUCAAGCGCCACGCCGAAGUUGUCCAGCUUCCCUAGGGAGUACUCCGGCCGGCCGAGCGCCUCCACCGGCGCAAUCCCGCCUCCUCCUCCAGCCUGUGUUGUCAGAGACAUCGUCGUUGCAUGGACGGGUUAGAUAAAGAUCGAAACUUUUUUGUUAGCUAUCAGUGAUCAGUAACGUGGUGUGGUAGUACCUGAUAGUGGAACAGUUGGGUGGGCGACGGAGGGGUGGCGGCGCCGACGCACCUGCUCGGCGGUGCAGGAGCGAAGGCCGCCGUGGCGGGGUAGUAGUAACCGUAGGCCGCAGCCGCCGCCGCGGCAGCAGCGGCGGCGGCCGGGGUGGGCGACGUCGGGGAGAGCAGCUGGCCGGCGGCGGUCUGGUCAAAGACGCCGCAACCGCCAUACGGCGCCGCCGGAAGCGCCGGCGGCGCGGCGGCGAGGAAGCCGUGGUGGCCGUGGUGCGCCGCGGCGUAGUACUGGGCGCAGGAGAGGAGGUGGUGGCUCAUGCAGAGCCUCCGGCGGAGCUUCUGGCGGUCCCGGGCCUUGUGGUUCUGGAACCAGUAGAAGACGUUCUUGCCCUCGAUGCGGCCGUAGCAGGCGAGGUGCGCCGUGAUCUGCUGGAUCUGCGACGCGCUCGGCGUGCGCAGGCCGCCCCGGUACAUCUCCUCCAGGAUCAUCAGCUGCUCCGGCGUCGGGCACCACCGCGUCGACCCCGCCACCACCGGCUGCUGCGCCGCCUGCGCUUGCGCCUGCGUCUGGCCCUGCUGCGACGGCAUGUCGGUCGUCGUCUACCUCUAGCCGGCUACUAUACUUGGCUCUCGCUACUACUAGGAAUCUUGCUGUGGCUGAUGAUGCUUUGACUAUUUGUGAGCAGUCGGAUCAGUUUGGCUUGUUGCUGCUAAGCUCGUGGUUGGCUGGCUGGGCGUGGAGAGACAAAAGGGGUACUAGGAGGGAGGGAGAAGAAGCAGAUCGGCGGAUGGAGAGAGUUUGUUGGUAGCUGCUGCAGAUUGAGGACUGAGGAAGAGGAUGAAACGAACGAGAAGCAUAUAAUGGAGGGCCAUUGCUUCCUUCCUGUCUGCAGUAUAUAUAAUGGAUGCCGACACUAUACAUACGCAUACACACACACAUGCCCACCACCACCACCACAACCGAGUUCAGACAUUAGAGAGAGGAGAGAGAGAGAGAGAGAGAGAGAGAACAGUACUGCAGUGGCUGUUUAUUUGGAGAGAGAAAGAGAGCACAGAGAUGUGGCAAUGGCAUAUGCAAAGCAAAGCGGCCUGUGUGCUGUGUGGCACUGUUCAUAGGUAGCUACACGGUCUUCUUCCUCUGUCUCUGCCCACAGACACAGAACACAGAGCAGCAGCCAGCUAGGUACGUAGCUACUGUGUAGUAAUCAAGAGUGAAUAAUGUGUACUGUUGUGUGAUGGAUUUUCCUAAUCCAUGAGUUCCUGGUAGAUUAACACCACAUCCAGGAUAUCCUGUACCGGCCGGCGAUCAAAUAUGCAUCCCGUUGUGACGAUGGAGUCUGCGUUUAAACUGUGUUAUUAGAUACCUCUGAAAGUCUGAAUGCGUGACAAGCGCGAGGAGACGCAGCUGCUGGAUGAUCAUCCGUUCCUUGCUGGAUUUAUGGCUAGGCUACACGUACACGUACGUCGUGUCGCUAUUGAUUUCCUGCUUGAACGCGAGCGUGUGGUACGUCCUUGUGUGGUUGUGUGUGCAGAGUUAUUUGGUCACUCGUGCUACCUCAUCUACAAGCGCCAAGCGUCAGUACCAGCCAUACUAUGCUCUGCUACAGGCUAUAGCUAGGUUAAACAGCACGCGUUUAGUUGGGUUGAUUCCAUGUUAUGUUGUUCAUCAAGAGAUAUUAGAACAUUCAGUAUUUCAGUCACAAGGUUAACCUCCAACAUAGUGAUAAUGCCUAAUGGUGCAAGAUCAGGGACUAGCUACUCCCAAUUUUUGUCUUUGGUAAGCUAUGGACGUCCUAGUACUGUACAUUCCUCUUUAGAAAAUGUCUGAAAUACAAUGCACUGCCUGCGAGUGCCAUGAAUGGUUUCUAAUGGCGAUUUAUUUAGCACGUCGUGUCUUCUGCCCCUCUGCGUCUGAUCUCUCAGAGCGCCGAUCAGAGCGACGAGAGAGAUGAAAUGCAAAGCAGGAGAGAGAACACACAGCUAGCGGCGUGCAUGCGUGCAUUUAAGGAUAGAAUUACACGUCGGAUUUUGGAGAUCCGUCUAGGAUUUCGGACAGAAACCAGUGGAGAGACGGAGAGAGCUUGUGCGCAGCAGCAGUGGGAAACUGGGAAUUAUGAGGUGAUGAUGGCCCCGGCCCUGCAUCCGCGUACACUUUGCGUUGCCUCGUGAUGCGUGCUCCACUCGCUCUUCCUCUCUGCGUCCUUGCACAGUUGCAAGGCUGACUAAAUGGCGCCGUAGGACUCUAGGGCGCCUCUACGUCUGCACCGGAUCCAUGCCUACCGUUGUAGGGAUCUGUAGAGGAUCAACAGAAUUCAGUGAGUAAUUACUUCUAUCCUUUUUGUAUUUCCUGCAUGCCUACCUAUACCUAGAGUAUCGGCUACUCCCUCCUAUACUUCUACGAAGUCCUUAGUACGUUUUUAGAUAUGGUCGGGAUGUACAUCAUUUACUAUGUUUGCUUUAUAUUAAUCCCGUCCUAGAUGUAGUACUCCUACAAAUAAAGAAAGAGUUGAUGGUAGUAGUGUACUGUAUACAACAACUGCAAUUGCCCAAAUUGUCAUCUUUUAAUAAUUAAAAAGUUAGAGAGUCUACAGUGGCCAUAGAUAUACUCCUAGACUGAUUCUAAGAGUGUGCAUGUACACUAAGGGGGCGUUUGGUUACUUUUGCUUAUUUUUAGCACGUGUCACAUUGAAUGUUUAGAUACUAAUUAGGAGUAUUAAACGUAGACUAUUUACAAAACCCAUUGCAUAAGUGGAGGCUAAACGACAAGACGAAUCUAUUAAGCCUAAUUAAGCAGGGAAACCAAACCAGGUCUAAAAAGCUUGUACGACAAAGAUCAUAGAGCACCUAGUUCGUCUAUGAUAUUUUGCAGAGAAUGUUUUCUGUGAAGUGUUUAUUUAAAUGAAAUAAGGGCAUGAGAGCUGGAAAAAAAAACUAGCUUCUACGUAUUGAUUCAAUUCAUAUUGGAGAAUCAUUCUAGUCACAAAACACUUCUCCUAGAUAAUCACUUCAUGGAGGAGUGUACUCUACCACACUGGCCCUAAAGUCAACUUCUCUAAAGCAUGACUAUAAGAUUGUCUUUCUCUUUCUUUGAAACGAUAAGAUUGUCUCUUAUUGUUAUUUAUGCUUGCAUAUUAUUGUGCAAACGAUAAUUGACUUGUAUUCUACUAUAUACUACCUCUUGAACAAGAGCUAGCCCUUGCGGCAUAUAGGAUAAACUCAUUUGUAAGCUGAUGAAGUAGAAUACAAGCUAGGUUAUACACUUGUGCCUUUUAAGACCACCGCCCUUUGUCCACUACAUAAUUAUUAAUUGUUCGAUUAUUUCUGUGUGCGUGCCGACAUAUACUUUAAUUUUGCUAGCUUAUUAUAUAUAUAUCUGCAAAGAGAAAACAUAUAUUCUGUUGGGCCCCACCAUGGUUUGAAUUUGAUACGUGCAUGUACAUACCAUUUGGUGCUACAGUGUCUCAGAAGAUUUAGUUUGGCUUAUCCCCAGAAGCUAGCUCUUCAUUUGCAUUCACUCCCUACAUAUAUGUGCAACACGUACAGUACGUGACCGUACCACAACCACAGUGUAGGCGUGUAGCACGCCGUAGCAGCACACCGCCGGGAAAUGUGGCAAACAAUCAAGGAUGGACGCGGUUUAUAUUAGGAUCGGAUCCGGCCGAGAGUACUCAUCGGAAAUUCAGAAUAUAAUGCGAUCGAUACAUGACGGACCACCGCAAUUGAACGCUGUCCGCGUGUUUAGCCAUUCAUUCAUUGCGUACUUAAACUUUGGAAGAAUUAAUAAGCUAAGCAAGCUAUGUGAAGCUAGCUUAAUGAUCGAUGAGCUAGGCCGCAGUCGCCGAUCCGGCCUGUGUGUACUUGCAACACGGCAGUCGAUUGCAGCCCAGGACGCAAAGUUAAUGCAUCCCAUGAGUAAAUGUGUGUAAGAAUGCACCAAUCGUAGCAAGUAGAAUGGUACUGCUUGCCGGAAUAGAUCAAGCAUGAACAAAAUAUGCUGUAUUUAUACCUGGAUCAAGCUUAAUUUAUAGCUCCUUUUUUUUUUAAAAAAAAAGUGGAAUAUGCAUGAUGGCAGGAGCUAUGUUAUGGAAUUUUAGAUGAAGGAGGUGACACCUAGAUUCGAGCUCGGUGGGUAGAUCCGUAGAUGGCUUAGCUUGGCGGCAUUGUCUACCAAACGGGCUAGCGUUAUACCCUCGCUCCAUCAUCGGUGUACUAUACUCCUAUCGAUCACAUAUAGAUGGGAGUUAUUUUCUCUGAUCAGAAAUACAAAGUUUUUUUAGAUUCAUCCUAAGUCAAACAAUUUUUGCUUUGAUCGCAUCAUUAUAGUUUAGAUCUAAAUAGCUUUGCAAGUCAAGGUUGAUGCUAGCACAUCAUAAUGAAAAAUAAUUUUAUAAAAUAUAUGCAACUCUUUUAUUCGAAAUAACAUAGUCAAUUCCAAGAAAAAAUAAGUAGGGGUCUCUAUCUCUAUGAUAAGAAGUUAAUUCAAACCAAUGUUUUAAAUAGCGGGUUAAAGGGUUUAGCGGAGGCACUCUAAAACAGCUAAUAGCGAAACUAAAUAGGGCUAUAGCGGACUAUAGCGGUUAAGUUGUACAUGAAUAUACGUAGUGGUACCAUGGCUCAACCAGUUAUAGCAAACCAUGGUGGCAGGAGAUUUAGGAGGCGUUUGCUUCCACUGACUUAUUUUUAUCACGUGUCACAUCGAAUGUUUAGAUACUAAUUAGGAGUAUUAAACGUAGACUAUUUACAAAACCAAUUAUAUAAGUGGAGGCUAAACGGCGAGACGGAAGCAAACGGGACCUUAAAACCUCGAUUCAAACUAAUAAGUCAGAGGUAGUUAAACGUCCAGUUUUGAAGCGUACGAGAUCUGAAUUCAAACUCGAUUUGACAGGAUGAAACAGACAAGAAAACUGACAGAAGAAGCUAAUGAGCUAGAAGCGUAUAGGAGCAACGAUGCCGAGGAGUAAAUAGGAGGAAUGGACGGCCGUCCGGUCCGGCCAGCCGUCCGGCCUGCAAGAAAUGUUAGACACGGAAUCCAAUUACUCAGAAACCCAGAGCGCGAGCGAGCGAGCAUGGCUGCACGAGCUCGAGGUAAAUACUACAUAUAUGGCAUAUAGGCCUGCGGUACGCCACUGCAAAGUUUACUAGGUCACGUAGUACGUUAAUAUAUAUAUAUAUAUAUAUAUAUAUAUAUAGUAUACUCUAUUUCCGCUAUAGAAUAGCUUAUUCUGUGGUCAGCCCAUCCAACGCACUAGAAUAGUUACAAUUUAUUGAAUGGUUUCAGAUAAUAAUGUAGUCGACUUAAUAGAACUGAUAUGUCCAUUCUUGUUAAUUUACUAUAAAUCGAUUGUACCAUAAUUUGGACUAGGAGUUACCUACAAUUAUAUUUAAUGAUGCUUUUUUUUAGUAAAUUAUGGUACAAUUGAUUUAUAGUAAAUUACGACAUCAAAGAAUGGACAUAUCAAUUCUACUAAGUCGACCACAUUGUUGUCCGAAACCAUUCAAGUUAUUGUAACCAUUUUAAUGCGUUGGAUGGGCUGGCCAUAAAAUAAGCUAUUCUAUGACCGAUCAUAGAGUAUACUAUUAUAUGGCCAGCUCAUCCAACGCACUAGGAUGGUUACAAUAAGUUGAAUGGUUUCAGACAAUAAUGUAGUCAAAUUACUAGAACUGAUAUGUCCAUUCUUGUACAUCAUAAUUUACUAUAAAUCGAUUGUACCAUAAUUUACCAAAAAAAAAGCAUCUUGACACUAAAUAAUUGUGGUAACGUCUAAUCCAAAUUAUGGUACAAUCGAUUUAUAGUAAAUUACGACAUCAAAGAAUGCUGAAACCAUUCAAGUUAUUGUAAUUAUUCUAGUGCGUUGGAUGGACUGGCCACAGAAUAAGCUAUUACAUGGUCGGCCAUAAAGUAUACUCUCCAUGUGUGUAGACAUACACAUACAUACAUAUGUGUGUAUGUAUAUAUCUUAGGUGCGCGCGUACAUGUAGCUCAAGGCAAGGCAUAUGCUGCUGCAGUGCUGCUCGCAUACGUCCAUCCAUCGAUCGGAAUGCGAUGUGCUGUCUCGCCUGGCCCUGAACCCUGAACUGAACGGAGAAGCCAUAUGCAGAGGGACAGGAGCAGAGGCAAGCGAUCGACGUCGCCGGCCGGCCGGCCGGCCGCGGCCGAUGACUAGUCUUGUAAAGUCAGUCAGGCCCGGGCAGCAGGCGGCGUCAUAAACUACACAAACUGGCCGCAGCUGCGGGUGAGAGAGAGAGAGAGGGAGGGAUCGGAGCUAGAGCUCUUGACAAGGACGUACGACGUGGAUGCUGCGAGUGACCCCCGGCUGAAUGCCUUGUCCUCUCUUGCUGAUCGAUGACGAUGCGUAUAUAUGUAUCCAUCCUUCUCACUGCUCUGCCUGCAGGCAACGUACUGCAUGGCAUAUUGGCAUAUGCAUGCAGAUUUAUUUGCAAAAUUCAUAAAUUCGUUUUUUUUGCUGGCAUAUGCUACUCCUUUUCGCUACAUUCCUUGCUAGCAGCUAGCUAAAUGGACAGCUACUCAUUGGUGCAUCAUUGCUUGCUCCAAUCCUUCUGGCCUGCCUGCAUGCUGCCUAGCUAAUAACUUGAGAUUGCCGUGCUGCGGGUGCUGGAAACUUUUACGCAUGGUAUCACCGUGCACUUUUACAUCAGCUUCAGGGCUUGUCCCGUUGUUCUCUGAACACUAAUUUUUUUUACCACGUACAGUUCAUAUAUAUUCUUCAAAAAUAUAAAUCAACUAAUAUUUUGAACCAGAGAGGGGGAACACGUACGGAGGUGAUGCAGUGGUGCUGGAUUUAGUUGUUUGCAUUUUAGUCCCAUGCAUAGUUGCCAUCAGGUAGUACUUCUGCAUCACCUAUUAUAGAAUAACGUACACACGUUGGCUAUAGGCAGGCACGGCAUUUCGAAAUCACGGUACGUGUAUCGCAUUACUGUGUCGUCGGGAAUUAAGAAGCUAGAUUCGAUUCGUUCGGAGAGCAGUGAUUCAAUUCAUGUCGCGUGUAGCAUAUACUGAUGAAUCACAAAUGCACGUGUACCGCCGCCAUGUAGUUUUUAUGUCGAUCCCAGAUCCAUGGGUCAUCACGUUCAGACACAUUAGUUGCAGGACCAGAGCAAUGCGUACGUACGUGCAUCGUGUACGUGUACCUGGAACAGUACGUAGCUAAUGACGUAUGGGAGGUGAUGCGAAUAUGCAAUACGUACGAGCACAAGGUACGUGGUGCCUGCGUCCGUAGACGACAGGGGCCGGGAGUUGAGGCCGGGCGGCGCCUGCAGUAAUGAAUUCCUCCGCCUGUGGGUGGUGCCCUCUGCUGGAGGAUACCGUGUGGGCAUGCACGCACGCAUGCUGCUAGCUGCGGCCGCACGGUGCCGUCGUGCAUGUGUCGCUACAGCUGGCUCCGCUCCUCGUUUCAUACAUCGUCUGCAUGCAUGCACUACACGGGUCACGAAUUUCGCUGCGUCCGGCGCGUACCUGCAGGUGCUUUGUACAUAUACAUAUACAUAUAAAUAUACAUAUAAAUAUACAUAUAUAUAAAUAAUCGGCUGAUUUGACAGAUCACGGACCCAGUUGACCGAGAUAGUAUAUACUUGUAUAGUCGAAGCUAGAUGCUGGCAUGGCCUGCUGCUGCUGCUGCUGCUUGCUGCAAAGGUAUUUAUUGUUUGGCUGGUGCGAGCACAGCGGUAGAAGCAUCCCUCUCACUCUCUCUCUCUCUAGGCCGUGGCCGAGUCUCUCUCUCCUCUCUGGUUUCUAGAUGUCUGGGUCUCGGGAAUACGAUCCAUGUACAGCAGCGGCAGCAGUACCGGCAGGCUGGCUGCAGCUACGGUCUACUGUAGCAAGCGAGCAGAGGCCGUCAGUGUCACACGCAGCUCAGCUAGUAGAGGCAACGUCAUGCGCUGCUCUGUUUCAAUUCGGCCUUUUUACACGGAGACAAUAAUUCUAUUCAUUCUUUCCUGCCUUCCUUGGCUCGACAAAGUUGACAAAGUUAAUGCCUGUCAGAAGCUGUUUUUCUCCACUCAACCUUUCCAUCUUUCCAUUGUCUUGUUCCUCCCUCUUCAAGCUCUGGCUGGCUGGCCAUCUCCCUGCUCUUGAAAAUGUCCAUCCAUCAGCUGCAUGUUUUGCUUUAACGUUAACAAAAAAUCAUCAUGAUUGCAUAUCCAUGGGAUGCAAGAGACGACCUAGCUCGCUCGCUGGAGAUCUGAUACCUCUCGUCAUGCGCAGCAGUUCCCGAAUCUCGAAAGGAUAUUGUCCUGAAUCUGAAAAGUAUAUUGCAGGUAGGACACGAGUUUGUACUGUAUCAAGAACAACGUAUAUGAAUCUCAUAGAAAACUGUAGAUGACGGCGUUCAAGCAACCACGACAAGAGAAUAGGGUUUUGGCGAAGCCGAUCGCAAAUUUUUUUAAGCACAACCUCCAAAAGAGUAGAGGUGAUUGUCACUCCUCACAAUCCUGCUCAACCCUCUAGGACCCUUUGAUUCUUGCCCUAUACAAGAAUAUAGUACUAUAGAAUCUCUCUUGAGCGCUCCUAAUUGCCUCUUACAAGCCUUGGAUGAGACCUUAGUAUUUACCUUUGGUUUAAUUUAUUCCUAGAGGUUCCACCCGCUUUUAUAUAUAUAUAUUCCCCUCCAAGACUCCAUACAUGUGAGUAGGAGUCAUACACCUAGGAGAAUUCGACGCUCAAGUCCUAGUAGAAAUAGAAGUUCUACUAGCAUACCCCUAUCUAGUCCUAAUCUAAGUAGGAUUUGAGUUACCACCGUACAACACUUGUCUAACGGAGUUGAAGCUGGGAGAAAUCAAGAUGGAACAGAGACAAUUACGAGGUUCCAGAAAGUACCGCAGCAGAGCGAGGAAGAUCGAGUAGCAGGCUAGCAGCUAGUGGAGAAGUUAAGCACGCAAGGCAGGGCUUCACGUGAUGAGUCUCCGGGCAGGCGCGUACUCUCUUAUCAUGGUAUUAUGCUGUGCUGCUGUACUAAGAGCCGAAUCAAAACGCUCCUGCGCGCACCAUUAAUCGGGCCGGGCCGGGCCCUCAUCGCCGUCUCCCUCUCGCCCGGAACAUUUCAUCCCUCUGAUCUCUGAUCUGACGGAUGAUUCCAUCUCGAAGAAUAUUAUACUAGUGUGUAUACCGUGUGCACACUGUACAGCUCCGGCCGAGCAGGGUCGCUAUUGCAUUGCGGCAUCAAUUCCGGCCCACAGCAAUGGCAACACCAAGGACCGAAGGACACACUCGCGCACAGUACCAUGGUACUGCUGCUAAAAAGGUUUGAAAUGUUAAGAACAGUACAUGUAUGUAGUAUGCACCAUCCAUCCAUCCAUUGAUCAUCCAUGCAUCUCUCUCUCUCUCUCUCUAGGUUUCUCUGUCUAUCAUCUGACCAAAGGAAAAGGAAAGCUGGCUGGCCUGCAUCCCGGUCUGCGUGCAGUAACUCCACACACAACACAACCUAUCCUACAAAAGACAUGUACCACAGUAGUGCCACUAGCAAAAGCUAGGUACGUAGCCACUAGAUAGUGCAUGCAAUAACUUGACAAGAACAAAACAUGGUAGUGUGGAUCGGAUCAGACGAUCAGUAGCAGCUUCUUCUCCUUCAUGAAUCCUCUUCUCGCACUGCGAUAUACUGCGUGCUCCUGCACUCCUAAUAACUAGGCAGGCAUUGAUUUCUGCCUCGCCAUAUGCAUAUAUACAACUCUCUUGCUUUCUUCAAGGAUUCAGCAGUACUACUACUGCUGAUCAGAUCAGUGGCUGGAGUGGCUGACUGAGUGAGUAGAGUAUUCACUCACUCACUGCCCGCAACUGACCUAUCUCCAAUUCAAAACAGACUCCGCUCUUUUAUGGCCGGCCCGGCCCUGCGACUGCGAGCUUGCUGCAUGCUGCGUGCUAGUAGAGCUGUGCGCCUGUGCUAGCUGUGCCUUUGCAUGUAUAUUCAAGUCAUCUGCAUGUGAAAUAAACAUCUUGUCCCUCUCGAUCCAUCUCUCUCACCCAUUCAAUUCGUUGUGCUCCUUGUGCUUGCGCUACAUGCUGCUUGCUUUCGUGCAUCUCAAUUCGUGCUAUACUAGCUUAUUAGUUUAAUAUGUGUAUACAAAGAUAUAUACAUACUCCUACAUAUACAUAGCUUUAAUUUGCAUGCCUUGCCAGGAGCUGCAGCCCUACGCUCCAUUGCCCAGUUUGUGAUGGUGCAAUUACUACUAGUAACUGUACAUGCAUGCCCAUAGCUAGCUUUCUGAUCAGUUGAUAUGUACGUACGCGUCGCCAUGUAGAUGCAAAACGUAGCCUUUUGGUUUUGUAUAUAUACAAAUACAGAGAGACACGGCUGCUGCCCUGUUUCUCAGAAAGGGGUCUGCAGCUACUCCCUGCUGCGAGAGGGACUGAGAUCUUGCAUCAAAGUUUCUGAAAGAAAACAGGAUAGGACGACGGCCGCAUGCUGCUGGCCACUGACUUGAAUGAGAUUCCAUCUACCGCGCACAUAGAUCGUAGCUAGAGAGCCAGCAGAUAGGCCGGUCGUGCGUGCGUGCGUACACACUGCUAAUUAAAUUUCUUUUCAGUUUUUUACUUCUAACGGUGGUGUCAGUUUCUUCCAUCUCCAGAUGAACUGUUGGCAUCCAUGCAAGCUUAAUUGCCUAUCCAAAUUAUUUAAGAUAAUAUGGUAGUACGUGACGACUUGAACUACUCGGUAGUGACUACCACAUUAUCUUAAGCCCUAAAGUUGUGACUGGACAACACACAAGAGUUAUUGCCAAUGCACGCACGGAUUCAUGCAUGGAAAAGAGAGAGCCCCAGAGCAGGCAGCAACGAUGCACACACCGGUUAAAACGCUUGGAGGGAUCGAAGAGGGAGGGACGGAGAUGUCAGUGGAAGGUGACGGUAGCGGUAGAGGCCAAGGCCGGAGUAGAAGGGAACCGAAGCCCCAAAAGCUGCACACCACUUUACUUCACAAAAAAAAACUGCGCACCACUUUGCAUGUAUGUACACACUACACACACAAGUACACUGUACACAACAGCACUCCGUACGUACACGGCUACACGCAGUCGUAUAUACGUACGUACUGAGCAAGCAGCUAGGUGAGGAGAGAACUGGUUGGUUAGUGGUUACUACUACGUACUCCACGUACAAUGCAUGUGACGCGUGUGUACUUGCUACUACGACAUAUAUGUAGGUGUGCGCAUGGUGACUUAUAUGGCCACGCAUGCGUGUCUGUGCGUGCGUGCUGGGGUCGUCGUCGCAUGCAGCACCGCUGCGUGCAUGCGCAUGCGGACGUAGGCGCGGAUCCUACACAGCAGCAGGCUACCCGCUAUAGCUGAGAUCGAUCGGUCGAUCUAUCCUCUGAUGUACUGGAUGUGUGAUGAUGUGACCACUCCCUCAUCAUCUCUUAAAUCAUAUCCAUCUCAUUCCUCCCUCCCUCUCUGGUUCUCUUCUCUUCUUCCUCACGCCACACAGAGGCCGGCCGGCCACAGCAGCAUGUACACAGCUCUCUCUCUCUCUCUCUCUCUCUCUCUCUCUCUCUGCAGGGCAGGCCGGCAGAAGAGAGCCUGGCUGUGGCAUGCACGCCGAGUAGCAGCUAGUUCAAUGCCGAACCUACUGCACGCUUCUGUACAUGUAUGUGUAUAUCUGCGUGCAUGUGCCCGUGUUGUGUAUGUGUACGCGACGCAGAAGAGAAGAGGGGGAGAGAAGAGAGAGAUCGAAGGACCACCCCCACCCUGCCCCUGCAUGGCCGGCUGCUGCUGCGACGCAAUCUUAAUGUUUUGUCUUUACCCAUAACAUUCCAAGUGUUGUCAUCUCCCUCUUACACCCGCAGGCACGUGGGCCCAACACUGAUCCCUUCCAUGAAGGUCGCAGGCAGAGAUCAGUGGCAGCCCUGGCCUCUCGCUCCUCGUCGACGAGACGCGCCUCUGGCUCCACUGGAAAAGCGAAUUAACAAUCCUGUCACGCAUUGACUUGUGCUUGGAUCAUAGCUAGCUCAGUUAAGUGCCCAUCCGAUCAAGUUAACGCCUACCAAUCAGUGGGGCACACGGGCUGUACAAGCGCGGGCACCAGGGUACAAGCAGUGGAAUAGAUGCUGCCAUAACAACACAUAUAUGUACGAAAUUCUUAGAUGUUUUUCCUGCGCGCAUUUGGGAUUUGGCACCACAUUUAAUUUGCUACGACCGCCAUAAAUAAAGGCAAUCAACGAGAUAUCACAAGAUAGCAACAAAUAAAACCCAGCUUGUGAUUGAUAUAUCAUGUAGACGAUGGUCCUCUCUCGUACUACUGUUUUUACUGGUGUUUGCGGCUCACGAGUACUUUUCUCUCCGAAAUAGUACAAACACGAACGCUCACAAACUCACGCACACUCAAUCCUAUGAAUAGACACGCAAUCCUACCUUUACGAGGACCUCCAAGGGACUGAAUCGGCAGAAUCUUGAGAUUGUACGUGCGAGCACUAGUUAUGAGCUCAAACCCUGGUAGGCAUAUUCCACCACAAUAAAUCUUACCAGCUGAGCGCUUAGUUCGCGCGGCUCACAAGUGCUUGUUAUGGCUUGAAUAGGUGUUGCCAUCAUUCUUCAACGUAUGUCAACAAGGAGGAGGAUGGCAUCGAGCUCGGGGGUAAAAGGGCAGGGUCAGGCUGGACAAAAAACCACUUUCUUUUGGUCCAUCCCAGGGGCGGAUCUUAAGGGAGGGCUAGGGGGCUCUACUGCACAAGACCUCCAUAAAGCAAAGGAAGAAGAGGAGGAGAAGAGAGGAAAAUGAAGGAAAAAAAAAAGAGGAAGAAGGGGUGAAGAUAGAGGAGGAGGAAGAAGCAAGCCCUCCUAACCUUAAACCUUGCCUCCACCACUGGUCUGUCCAAUAAGUCUGGGCUCAGGCCAGGCUCUCCAACCUUCAUUCAAGUGUGAAAUUAGCGAAUUUUAAUAUUUCAGAUCUAGCCUUUAUUUUCUCAAGCUAACCAUCAAAAUCAACGCAAGCUCAGACUUAAAUCAGGCCUUGUUUAGUUGCCCAACUUUGGGAUGCCCAAAUUACUGUAGCAACACUGUAGCGUUUUAUUUGUAUUUGUAAAUUAUUGUCCAAAUAUUGACCAAUUAGGCUCAAAAGAUUCGUCUCGCAAAGUACAACAAAACUGUGCAAUUAGUUUUUGAUUUCGUCUACAUUCAGUACUCCAUGCAUGUACCGCAAAUUUGAUGUGAUGGAGAAUCUUCUUUUUGCAUAGUGCCAAAUUUGGAAUUUGGAGGUGAACUAAACAAGGCCUCAGUUGGGUCAAGCUUAGUCCACUAGGUUCGGGCCUGUAUUUUUCUCCAUAUCGAUGGAUGAUUCUUCUUUCGAGAGAGGUAGGCUUGGCUUGGAGAUAGAGGAGGCGGAAUAUGAGGAGGAGCGGUUGUCAGACUCAAGGUGCAAUAAAGAUUAUGAUGAGGUGACGCCCGACUUCAUUUUGAUGUUUUUUCCUGCAUGCAUUUGGGAUUUGGCACCACAUUUAAUUUGCUACCAAUGCCAUAGAGGCAAUUAAUGAGAUAUAUCACAAGAUGGCAACAAAAUAUUCCCAGCUUGUGAUUGAUAUAUCAUGUAGACGAUGGUCCUGUCGUAUUACUGUUUCCACUAGUGUCUGUGCCUCUCAGGUGCUUAUCAUGGCUUAAAUAGGUGUUGCCAUCACUCUUCAAUGAUUGUCAACGAGGGUGAUGAUGAUGAUGGGCGAUGGCGAUAAGAGAACUCGCGAUAAAAGGCCAAGGCCGGACCGACGAAAAAAAUUGCUUUCGUUUUAUUUUGUUCCUUGAAUCCAGUGGCUAGUUUGUCCGAUAAAUCCUUGGGCUAGGCUCGGGGUCAGACCGUGCUUUCCAACCUUCAAAUGUUAAACUAACUAAUUUUAGUAUUUUGAUCUAGCCUUAUUUUUUCAGACCAUCAAAAUCAGCGUAAGCUCAGACAUAAAUCAAUGUUGGGUUCGGGCUUGUAUUUUGCUCCAACUAGUGGUUGAGAUGGCGGAUUUCCACGCCUAGGGCUACUUACCAGAGCGUUUAAACCAUCCAAACUAGCCCACAUAGCCCUAGUCAUAUUUAUAAAAAAAAAUUGCAUGAUUUAGAGUAUAUCUGACUCCAACUAGAUCGAUGAUUCUUCCUUCGAGAGGAUGACCUUGGCAUGGAAACACCAGGGGGGGGGGGGGGGGGGGGGGGGGGAGGUGCGGCUACCAAAGGAGGAAUCCGAUGAUGACUCAAGCUACAAUAGCAAUGAUGAUGAGGUGACGCCCGAGUUCAUUUUGGCUUGAUCUAAAAAAAGGUUCAUUUUGGCUUCAUUCAUAUGAAGUGCAUGCUAGCUUUGUAUUUUAUCACCUUUUGGUUUUUAUAAUGUAUUUGUAACAUGUAGCAAAAAGUAUGCUAUUAUGACACUACAUUUUGAUAUAUAUCAAUCUCCAUAAUAAUUUUCAAAUGUCCAAAUUCAACACACACAAAAAAAUGAUUUAUUUUUAGAAAACCUCAAAGGGUCACUUGUUUUUGUAUGGAAGGAGAAAUACGAUACAAAAGCUAUACAUAGAUAUAAUAUUAAUGUAUCAUAAACAAUGUCGAUUAUUGCCUAUCACGAGGUGGUCUCCUAUCGAUCUGCCACUUAGUUUAUAUAUUUUAAUUUUUCUUAUUUGAGAGGUUUCCCUUCGUACCAAAUUACUAUUUAUUUUGACUUUUCUAGAUACAUAGCUCUUGAUAUACACGAUAGUCCGAAGUCUGCUUUUCCACGACGGUGAAUGGCCUACUUUUGCACUUUGCAGGCUGCUUCCAAAGACAGCAUUGGGCCUUACAUGGAUUAUGUAAGGGCCCAGGUCCCUACUUACCGCCCACGUAACUAUGGGCUGGAGUUAUUACUAUGGUUUAUGGCCCUUUGGUCCGGCAGACUGGAAAAGUACAUAACCAGCAUUGGGCUGGAGCAAAUACUCCAUUCUUUUUUCAAAAAAUAUCAAAUUCAAAUAAAUAUGGACGACUGGAUUCUAGCUGCCUGGAUAAUCGAGAGUCACGGAUAUUCUUCCACCAGAUUAUUCCAAUUACGAUCAGGUGAGUUCAGCAAAAUGCCACGGAAUAGCAGGGUCUUGUUUGGCCGAGUUUCCAGAGUUGAUUCUCAGCUGAAUCCAGCAAAAGCUUUGCCAAACAGUUUUUUAGAGAGAAAUGAUGAUUCUGUGAAGUGAUUCUCUAAAAUGAACAGUUUUUUAGAGAGAAGAGAUUGGGAGCUGAAAAAAGUAACUUCUCUUGAUUCUGUGAAGUGAUUCUCCAUCCUGAUUUUAAGAGUUUAUGCUAGAGAAUCAAAAAGAAUAUCCUGAUUUUAAGAGUUUACGCUAGAGAAUCAAAGAGAAUCACUUUCAGCCAUAGAAUUACUUCUUCCAGAGAAUCAGACGGAACUCUACCAAGCAAGAUCCUACAUCAGCUUGUCAGUUUGGAGAAUAUCUGGAGUAUGUUUCCACUGUCCAGGUACUCAGUUGAAUCAAAAUGCUUGCAAAUGUUUGGAUCCUUCGUAAUCUGGUUGAGCAAACCAUCGCCGCAACCACUUCACUUCCAGUAUUCAGUUACUGGCGAGAGCAAGGCAAGCUCCUAGUGAUCACAAGAAAUCAAAAUGUUUACAUGUGUAGUUUAGAAAUCAUAAUUCAUAUGAUCAGUAUUUCUAGCAGUUGAACCCAGGGAAAAGAUUUCACUUGCCAUGCCUGACAGUACUGUAAGAAGACACAAAUGAUGGAAAGCAGAAAAUACUUAGCCAGAACAAAAACUCAGUCCACUCAAACAAGGCCAAGGAAAGCAACACACCCCAAGAUAUCCUACACUCAUUCAACCCAAAAUAUGAUCCAGAAAAACAUCACUGAGAAUAAGUGCAAGUUUUUUUUCUUUUUCCAAAAGGAGCAGCUGGUAGGAUUUAACACUAAGAUAUCUACAUGUCAUGAAACACUUGGACAGUUGGACAGACAGGAGCAGCAGAGCACACAUUCCGAAAAACAAGUCCACAAACGACACUGAUAUUCUUAAACCUCACCACAGAGGAUUUAAAUCCGAAGAAGCUGGUGUUUGGCAUGACAAGAAGCUGAUCCCCAGUCGGCACUUAUCCUUUGGAAGUGCUAUCAAGAAGCUUGAGCUCUAACUGAUGUAACCUUUACUUCAUAUUUUGCAUCAGCCCAUUUUCAGAUGGAUUCUUUUGCGGCUUUCAGUUUGUUAACAGUACUCAGACUUUGCCAGGAGCAAGGAUCUUCCUCUUUAGGCAGUGUUCUUGCCUUAAGAAAAAAGAACCCCAUUGCCAUUUUUCAUUGAAUAACAAGGGCUAGAACAAAAAUCAAGAUUCAUCAGGCUCGCCAGCCAGAUAAUAUGUUUCGGUUUUGACAUGUGUAAGCUUCAUACUACUUUUCAUGUCCUUGAAGGAUAAAUGCAAAAGUUAGAAGAUAAAGAUAACUAACUGCCAGCAAUCCAUAAUGGUUCGAAUGCUGGCAGCUUGGCUUACACAACACCCUUUUCCUAAUUUGUGUUGCAAAGACAAAUAAGAAAUCUUGAUAUGGAGUGAUUAGAGCAAGAGUGCUAGGAAUGUUAUUUCAGAUUCUAUCGGUACAGACACGUUAUGAUUUUAUCACAUACAUGUUGGUGGGCUUGUACAACAGACCAAAGGCUAGAAAAAUCAAAAUGGCAUAUUGCACAGGACUUCUGCAAAUUAUUUUUACCAAACUCACAUCAGAGUGUGUAGCCAGUGAUUAUUGCGCACCUUGAAUAUCUAGGCAGAAACUGGCCAAUGAACGUCCAACUUUGCAUCCAAUCAAGGAUCAGAUACUGUCAAGAUGUAAAUUUUGGAUCUUGAUCACUGCUAAAGAAUUGUGCCACUGCUCCGAACCUGAUGUGAACCUUUGGCCUACUAAUCCAAGCAGCAUCAUGAAAAUAUCAGCCAAUAUGCAACUUUGCAUCCACUAGAGAUCCACAUAGUGUCGGUAAAAUUCAAAUUCUGAAUCUUGAUCGACAUUGCAUCCAAUAAAGCAAACAUACAGCUACAAGUUCACAAUUGCUCAAUGAACAGAGCUUUGGCACUUAUUACCUUCCUCCAGCAAUGGAGGCUGCCAGGUCGACGUCGUCGUCCACCUCGAAGAAAUGCCAGCUCGUCUCGUUGAACGCGCGGGCGAAACAAUCGUCGUCAUCCAAAUCCCCCGUCUCGCCGACCCGCUCCUCGCACGCGAACCGCCCGACCGCAAGGACGUGCGCGGCCUUGGCGGCGGGGCCCGAGCGGUUGUCCUCGGCCUGGAGGGCGUACCGCCGGAAGCUGUUGCCGAGUACGCAGACGCGUCGGAGCUGAGCGGGUGAGUCCCAGUUGGCGGCGAGGAGCGCGUCGUAGAGCGACGCCUCGCAGUGGGGCAUGUAGAAGAGCGUGGGCUCCUCCACGCGGCGGCGGCACCCGUCGUCGACGCUCGGUACGGAGAACCCGAGCUCUGCGGCGACCGCGCACUCGACGGCGGAGAGGACGGGGUCGAAGAGGUCCGCGGAGGCGGAUUCAGGGAGGAAGUCCCGUCGGAGGAGUGCGGCGAGCGCAAGCUGGGCGCGCGCGGCGGGGGAGGAAUCGAAGCUGCCGACGCCGAGAAGGGAGAGGCGGGAGGGGGCGAGGACGGCGAGGCGGCGCUGGAGCGGGGAGUCCGGGAGGAGGAGGCGGCGGUAGAGGCGGGAGGCCGCGACGCGGGAGAUGGCGGCGUGGGCGCGGGCGACGAGGCGGGAGACGCGGGCCGGGUCGAGGGAGUGGUCGGAGGGGGACCAGGGGAUUGGGGUCACGGGGAGAGGCGGAGGAGCGUCGGGGUGGCAGGCGGUGGGUGGGGCCUGGCCUCGUCGGCGGCCGCGGCGGCGGACGACGGUCCAGUCGCCGCCGGCAGUGGGGGUCGCGGCGGCGGCGGGCAUGGAUUGGUUGGAGAUACUGUGAAUUGGGAUGGUCUGCGGCGGAGAUGACCGUCUGAUACGAAAGCUCAACGGUCCAGAUUUGGCGCGAAGGAUUAAUUGGUGGUUUAGGGGCGAGAAAGGGUUGGGCCUUUGGUCUGUCUCCGCUCAUGGGCUUUCAUUGGGCUGUUGCUCUGCUGCCGCUCAUGGGCUUUCGAUGGGCUCUGCAAACCUUCCGGAAGUUUUUUUCUUAUAUAACUUCCACUUUGAGAUCCGUGCAAAAGUAUACAUCCAACGACUACGAAACGCGCGAGCCAGCUGUCCAGCAUAUGGGCGGGCGCUGCCCGCAGAAGGAAAAGAUGCUGCCACCUGACUAGCAGCCGUCGGACCUUUGGUUUUGAAACUUUGGUUUCAAUUUUCUUUCAAAUCGUAAAUACGUUUUAGAUUCCAUUUCCCACUAUGUUAUUUAGAAUUUAUACAACAAAAUAAGAUUGAAUAUGAAUAUAUUUUGUGUCUUUUUAAGAAUCAACAUUUUGAAUAUACAAUUUCAACAUUUUGAAUAUAUUCAUUCAACAAUUUCGAUUUACUAUUUCAACAUUUUAUAUGAAAAUAUUGAAGUAGUUUAUUAGAAUUGUUGAACUUAGUUUUAUUAAAUGUUGAAUCAAGUAGUUUAAAAUGUUGAACAUGCGAGAUCAUAAAUAUUUAACAAAAACAAUGAAUCAUUAACAUGGAUUAGAGAAAACAAAGCAAAAGAAAGCUUACGUAUGUUACUUGCCACCGGCCUAUCCUCCUCCGUCCUACUACUAGUGCGUUGGGCCUCUGACGCUGGCGCUGCUUGACUGCUGUGCUACCUGGUUGUCUACACGUAAUUGGGCCCUCGUGGGCCUUAUAGCCAUACGGUUUAUACAACUACUAGAAGUCAUAUAGGACUCCCCCUCAAUCAUAACACAGAAGAGAACAUUGUCGCUCAGUAUUUUGUCAAAUGAUCUCUUAGCCUAAGGACGCAAUCAAUUACCCCAUCCAUUCUCCAAAGUGUCCCUAGUUAAUCUAUCGAGAUAUUUGAGUACAUUCUCUCUUUCUCUCAACCCUUUUUGUCUUUAUAAAAAAGAUUUUGUAAUCCUUAUUGACACAUUCGCAUCUUCUUUUGAAUGAUCUUGAUCCAACGACCUCUAACCAUGGUGAUAUGUUCAACUAUCUUAUUCUGCCCUCACAUGAAUUUGAUCUAGGCACAGUAGGCUACUUUCCUCGUGUGGGCAUUUCUCCUAUUUCUUUAGACAUGUCCACGAAAAAACGUUCUAGAUGCAACAAUUUGUUGUUAAGCAAACAUGCCAUAUACAUGAGAAAGGCGAUAAAGAAAGAAGAUACUUGAGGUUUCGUUUCUUUUCGAUGGAGGAGUAUACCAGCGUGUGUUGACAUACGAGUUGUGGCCAAGGAGAUAAGCAACUCGAGUCAUUGAGAAAAAUAAAAACAAGUACAAUGCUUGCCAAAACCAUGUAGCCUACAAUAUUUUUUUACGAAGGGCUUGUUUUGUGUUGGUUGACGUGCUUGGUUGCUCCGUGUGAACCGUAGUUCCCAAAUUAUUAUCAGCCAAACAAAGCACGCGAUGCUUAAGUUCCCGCGCAAACCCGGGAACCCGCGAGGAGGGCCACCGGGACCCACCUGCCAGCCUACCCGGGCUACCGGGCCCCGCGCCCGCUCGCCCGCUCUUGGCCUUUCCCCUUCCUCUCGGCUCGGCUCCCUCCUCUUCCUCCCCUCCGUCUCCUCCGCAGCACACGAGGACACUUUUGCGCCCGGCCCCCUGCCCCCGCGCGCUAUUCCCACCCGCCCGCCGCCACCCCACCCCCACGGCGGCUCCCCCCGGAUCCGACGGCUCCCGCGCGCGCCACGUCGCCGUCGUCUUCCUCCCCCACCCACUAUUUACCCUCCGCCCCCACCCCCGUCGCUCACCUCCCCCCCUUUCCCUUCCCCGUCCCGUCCGAAUCGGCGCGCUAGGGUUAGGGUUUCGCCGCGCCCGCAUCCGCGCCGCGCCGCCGAGGCCCGGGUGGUUCCGGUGAGUUUCCUCCCGCUCGUUCUUGCGCUCCGCUCGAUUCCUUCCUCCCUGUUGCUUCUUGGCAAUGGAGUGGAUUGGGGGGCUAGGGUUUUAACUGGUUGGCUUUGUUGCCGUGUCUUUUUUUGGUGCGGCGGUGUAGGCGGGAGACUCUAUGGCGAUCGUGAGGACUGGACCCGGCGUCCGGCUCCCGAGGCUUGACGGCGGCGGGGAGGGCUCGCCGGAGGCCACGGAGGACGAGGAGGAGGAGUCGCGGGCCACGCCGUCGCAGGAGUCCGGAGCCGACGGCUUCACCGGCGGCGAGGAGGAGGAGGAGAACGGCGGCGGAGGUGAGGAGCCAGAGGAGGUGGAGGAGGAGUUAGGCGGCGACGACGAGCUGGAGCUGGAGGAGGAGGGGGGGGACUCUGGGAUGGGGUCCGACGAAUUGGAGGUCACGGAGCUCGGGGAGCCUGGCGCCGAGAUGUGUCAGGUCGGGGACCAGAGCUUCGCAGUGCCGCUGGAGCUCUACGACCUCGCCAGCCUCCGCGACGUGCUCUCGCUCGACGCCUGGAACACCCUCCUCAGCGAGGACGAGCGGCUCAGCCUCGCCGCCUUGCUGCCCGACAUGGACCUGGAGACCUUUUCCCGCACCCUCGUCGAGCUCCUCGGGGGGCAGAACUUCCACUUCGGGAGCCCCCUCGCCGCCCUCUUCGAGCGGCUCAAAGGGGGGCUCUGCGACCCCAGGAUCAACCUUUACCGCCGAGGCACCCGCUUCGCGGAGCGGCGCAAGCAUUACUACUGGCUGCAGAGUUACCACAACUCAAUGGUGCGGGGCCUCCGGGAGAUCAAGGAUUGCUGGAAGGGCCGUGAGGGGUACAGCCUUGAUGAGAGGCUGAGGAUGUUGGACACUUUGAAGGCGCAGCAGCAGCAGAGAAAAGCUCUGGCUUCGGCUCGGCAGGCUGCGUCAGAGACUGAUUCGGAGAGCAGGGAGUCUGGGGAAAAGGUCUUAAAUCAGCUGAAGCUAGAUAAGAUUGGACAGAAGAAGUCAGGGAAGUUAGUGAAGGAGAGAUCUAAGGGUUUGCUGCGGGUGUGUAUGCCGAAAGGAGUGGAUGAAGAGUAUGGGGGUGGAUCUGGCCGUCAUUCUGCAAUGUCACUCGCUGAGCUUUCUCAUCGAGAUAAUGCGUAUGGAUAUGAUUCGAGCGGGCAUAGAGGGAAGCUUCACAGGAGCAUUGACGGACUUUACUCGGAGGAGCUAGGGUAUGAACAGGAUUCGUCAAGAACUCGGCUUCCGAGGCUGCUGCCAAAGCCAGUGAAGAAGAAGGAAUUGACUAUGAGCUAUGAUGGCAAUCUGUAUGGAAACAACUACCAUGAUGACAAUACUGCUUCUCCUUACUACUAUGGCAGGAAUCCCAGUGCUAAUCAGGGAGUCACUCUAGCAGCAGCGUAUGAUCCUCCAUAUUUUGAAACCAGAAGGAAUGCAAGGUACUCGGAGAGAGACUGGGUGCAAGGUGGAAAAGGUGCGCAGGGUAAAGCUCUAACAGGUGAUGAGAUGCACUGGACAGCUGGUACUCACACUGGUCACUUAGAUGACUGGCAAAAGGGGAAGUUGGCAGGUGAUUACAGGAGCAGGAAAGAUCAAGCUGGCCAUGGUCUGAAGGUUAAGUCCUAUAAAAGCAUUGAGCAACAGGCUAACGACACUCGCGUUGGGUCUGACCCUAGAAGCAAGAUAUCACAGGUGAAGAUGGCAGGUAAACCCAGCAGCCAAUUUGAUAGGAUUGGCCAGAAGCAUUCCAGGGGCAAUGCUGUCUAUUCUCAAAGUGAGGAGACAGAAUCUGAUUCAUCAGAACAGUUUGAAGGUGGUGGGGACGUGCAUUUUCUCGAACGGAAGCCAGAGCAUCACCAUUCUGGGUUUCAUAGACCAGCACAUGGUGCCAAAAAGUCAAAAAAGCUUGCUAAAGUGGUCAAAACGAGUUAUCCUACUGCUGAUGCAGAUUUAGAACCCUCUCGGAGCAAUGGAUUCAAAGGAAAGGUUUCAGAGACUGGUUAUUUACGUGAUGUGGAUGUGAAGAUGACGGAACAGAUUAGUGAUGUCAUGAAACCUCCAUCAGCAAGUGGUGAAAGGAAGCGGAAAGGGAUGGCAAAUUUGGAAACGCAUGUUCAUGAUAACUCUGAAGUGCAUGAAAUCAAUGAAAAUGCCAAUGAUCCAUUCAGGUUAACAGAGAGUGAAAGGCUUGCCAGUAGGUCAGAUCGUGCAGUCCAAGAUUCUAAUGGUGAUUUUGGUGGUACUGAAAGAGUAAGUGGCAGCUCUGGGUCCAAAAAAACAAAAGGAAGAGUUGAAGUUCCUAGCCAGGAUGAGCAAAGUGAGCAUGUGCCAUCUGGUUCAAAGAUGACCGAGAACAUCGGUGGCUCGAAGAAGAAAAGCAAAAAGAAGCCAGAGAGCACCACAGAUGCAGUUACUGUAGCAGAACCCGCUGCUGAUGUGCCAGAAAAUAAUGUUGUAGCAGUAGAGCCUGAGAAGCUGGAGAAGCCUGAGAAGAUUGAGAAGCCCAAGAAGAAGUAUGUACCGAUAUCACCAACUAUACAUACUGGCUUUUCAUUCUCCGUUGUACAUCUUUUAACUGCCGUAAAGAAGGCUAUGGUCUCUCCUGCUGAGGAUACUCCAGCAGUAGCGAAGCAGCCUGAUGGAGAGGAAGGCAAAAAAUGGUUCAACAAUGAAGAGAACAGCAAAACACCUCAAGAACAAAAUACGACAGAACAAACUCAGCAGGUUCUUGAGGGUGCAGAUGCCAGUGCUGCAGAGCAGGCUGCACAGAGCAAUUCACCGGCACUGACUGUUCAAGAGAUUGUCAAUCGAAUUAGAUCAAAUCCUGGAGAUCCUAGGAUACUUGAAACUCAGGAGCCCCUCCAGGAUUUAGUUCGAGGAGUAUUGAAGGUACUAUCAUCUAGAACAGCUCCUCUAGGAGCAAAGGGCUGGAAAGCACUAGUUGCCUAUGAAAAGGCAAACAAAAGUUGGUUUUGGGUUGGUCCAAUACCUUAUGUUUCAUCAUAUGAUGAUCCUGAUGAAGAAACUUCUGCGGAAGCAUGGUGUAUACCACACAAGAUGCUUGUGAAGUUGGUUGAUGCAUUUUCUAAUUGGCUGAAAAGUGGUCAGGAAACCCUUAAGCAGAUAGGAUCCCUUCCACCACCUCCACCACCAAAUCCUGCAAACUUGGAUUUGAAGGAAAGAUUCAAGGAGCUUAGAGCCCAGAAAAGUCUGAACACAAUAAGCCCAAGCUCAGAUGAAGCAAGGGCAUAUUUCCAGCGUGAGGAAUUUUUGAGGUACUCAAUACCUGAUAGAGCCUUUUGCUAUACUGCUGCUGACGGGGAGAAGUCUAUAGUUGCUCCCUUGAGAAGAGGUGGUGGAAAGCCCACUGCGAAAGCUAGGGGUCACCCCAUGCUCUUACCUGAUCGUCCGCCACAUGUUACUAUCCUCUGUCUUGUAAGAGAUGCUGCUUCUAGGUUGCCUGCAAGAACUGGAACUAGAGCUGAUGUCUGCACACUGCUCAGAGAUUCACAAUACCUGAACCAUGAAGAAGCCAAUAAAGAGGCUGCUAUUAAUCAAGUUGUCAGCGGUGCUCUUGAUCGCUUGCACUAUGAACGUGACCCUUGUGUACUGUAUGAUAAUGACAAAAAAUUGUGGACCUAUCUACACAGGGGUAGGGAGGAGGAAGAUUUUGAGGAUGAUGGCACGUCAUCUACGAAAAAAUGGAAGAGACCGAGGAAAGAUCCCUCUGAUCCUGCAGAGCCAGGUGCAGCAAACGAUGAUUUUGAUGAUGAUGGCACUGGGACCCCUUCGGCGAACAAUGCAAAAAAGCAAAAGACAGACCAUGGAGAUCCUUCAGUAUCAGGAGAAGCUAACGAUGAGGGAGAUCAUGCAACUCAGAAUCCAUCUUUUGGUGGCAUGGAGGGUGAUCCUGAUCUUAAUGCUGUUCCAUCAACAAAAAAUCAUGAAGAAUCUGGUGGAGAUGUUUACGUUGAUGCAAGGCCAAAUGAUGGUGGCUCAGAUUCAGUAGAUGCAAAACCAGGCAGCAGGGCUGAUGACAAUCCAGAACAGAAUAAAAUCAACACAGCACUCCCUGAGAACACCAGCAGCAUGGAUGCUCUCCAUGAAUAAUGAUAUGUCAUGGUUCAAUCAGCUGUGCAUGUGUUGAAGUGUCAGCAUAGGUAAUUUCGGCAGAAAUCACAUUUUACCUGUGUCAUCUAUUCUUAGUUCUGCAAUUGGCUAGUAUUAGGAGAAUUUGUUUCAUUUUUAGUGUUGUUUCUCUCUUUUUACAUUACAGUAAUGUAAAUUAGAAAUGCUAAGAUGGUUUAUGCUUUCCUGGCACAGCUCAGUCUGUUUUACAAUGAAAUUGUCAUGUUUUGACUAACAUGCCAAAUGCAAUGCUUACUGGUUUUGGUCUGCAGUUAUCAUAAUGUGGCCCGUAGUUAUAGCAAUGGUUUGUGAAAUACUAGGCAACUUUCUUUUCAGAUGUUGGUUACAGAUUUUUCAUUGAUAGAGGGAGACCAUUCUAUUGAUAUGUCACUUGAUUUGUAUUAUUCCUACAUAAAGUUAGCAUCGAUGUGAUAUUCCUAUAUCGUAAUUAUAUGUGUGAUACCCCAUUGUGCAGGCUGCACUUAGUAGGUUGUGGUAGCCCGGCUUCAUUCUAAUAUAUUUCAUUAGUUAGUGUUGCUUGAAGCAAUUUCAGGGACACCUUAUAGUUUCAAGUCCCAGUCAUGAGUACAAAUAGCUCGUGAAACUAGAUCAAGUGUGGGAAGCACAUUUCUGAUAGCAUCCGUCCUCAUCGCGCUCACUGUCACUUAAAUACCUUUUCCAGUUUUUAUUCAGUUGUACCAUUUAGCUUCUUAAUUGUUUUGGCAAAUAUUCUGAUAACUGCACUCGUCUUUUAACCAUUGGACAAUACAAAUCUGCUGUCCGUUCAUCCAUGAACCCCAUUGUGACAGCUUUUUCUCUGUUUUGCAGGGUAGAAAGCGGUGUUCAUCUUCUUGUUGCUAUAUAUAUGGACAUGAGUCAUCUUCUUGUUGCUAUAUAUAUGGACAUGAACACCAUAGCAAGCACCGCUAUACAAGGCCUCGACUCUGCCAAAAUCAAUCUUUUGUAGUUGAGAUAGCUUGUACAUUCUUGCCAUAAUUUAAAAGAGCUUCUGUAGUUUACUACUCCUUUUCUUUUCUAGUGGGCUUGUGCAGCUGCUGUGCCACAAUUCUAAUCUGAAGUUGUUAGGCAUCUCAUGUAUUUGUGUGUUCAUGUUCGGAUGAAAUGGAAUAGAAAGUUCAGUAGAGUCCCCAAUCUCCCAUCAGCCCGCACAUAUGAAUGUCGUUAAUGAGGUAAUUUUAAUUUCUUCUGUUGAGAGAAGCAGCUGCCAGAAAUUCUGUAAUGAUUUGUUACCAUGCUACAUCGAUGCCCUUUGGAAGAGCAGCCAGCGAACCGACCACUACCGUCUGGUGGCAUUUCUUCUCUAGCUUACACUGUUAAACAAGAGUGCAAAUAACUUGUGUUAGUUUAAACAAACAAAUUGUGGUAAAGUAUGUAGUUAUGAAAGUAUUACAGAUGAAUGCAGCAUUUUUAUGUGUCACAAAUCCUCCCAUUUUUAUUACGGCAACCAUACGAAUGAGAGCGACUAACGCCAUCUAGAACUAACAUGUAGCCACUGACAGAGUGACAGAACUGACGACACCUGAUGAACCCUAGCAUAUAUUACAUCAGAUUCAACGAUGCGAUAGCAGGUAUAUGCCACACUAUACAAUCAGACCACCCUAGGAACAAACAACUCGUCAACCAGCAACAGCAGUUAAUCCAAUACCACUAUCAACAUCAAUAUGGAAAAAAAGGGUAAUCUAAACAAAUGCCUCUCUCUCUCUCUCUCUCUCUCUCUCUCUCUCUCUCUGUACAAGCUUUUCGUAAAUCUAAUUUCUUCCUACGAGAGGUUCCAGCGUUGCCUCUGGCAAAUGUCUGGUGUCUCCAUUUGCCUGCUUCCAGGUACCCCUCGACUCCCGGAAUGAUUUCAGAAGCUCAUCGUAGUCCGGGGUCCGCAGCUCCUCUAUCGACUCCACACUUGGCAGGUCGAUCUGCCUUCUCCUCGGUGUCGAACACGACGGCUCAUCCACCUGUCAAUUUUCAAGGUACAGCAGCGAUUUCGUCAGUUGGAGAUCAAGAGCACAUGCAUUUUCUAACAAUCUGUUGCUUUUCUCGACUGCUCACCAAAUACUCUUCCUCGAGGCAUUUCCCGGCGUUCUCACUGAUCUCCACAACCUUGUGGUGAUGUUCCCCCUUCAGCUCCCUCAUUUCCCCGUGGCAUGGGGUAAGAAUCGCGCCAAUGUUUGCGCAUGCAUCAUGGUCAAGCUUUAAUGAGCCUGAGAUGGCAGGAAUUUGUCGUAAGAAAAAAGGAAUUGUCCAUGCUAUGCGAUGCACUUUGGUAGGUCAAGUUUCAGAGUGUGGUCUUACUGUCGAUGGAAGAAAGGAGCGCCUUGUUUGCAACAUCUAUAUCUUCAAGAGUCGACGAUACUGCAGACGACAAUUUGGAACGCAGCAAUUGGUUGGCCUCUGUUCCAGUCCUGUCAACAUACACACAACACUUCAACACAUAUUGGCUGCGUACCAUUCAAUUCAAAUUCGACAAUUUUAAUAUUUGCCAUGUCGGUUCCUAUUCUGAUACCUGACUAUAGAAUCUACAGAUUCCACAUUUCCUUUGCCUAGGCUGAAAAGAGAGUCCUCUGCAUUCUUCCACUGUUGCGCACCCAUGGUUGUCUUCACCUUGCUGCAACAAAUUUCCAAGUGAAUAUCAAAUUUCAAAACAUCCACAUUCUCAAACACAAGGAACCACCAUCACAUGAUGAUGCUUUACUAACCAUUCUACGAGCACUUCAGCCAAGCAAGACCUUCCACGGUCAACUGCAGUGGUAUCCUCAAUGUAAUUCUUCUCGGUUUCUUCCAUGUAAAAGCCCCAUUUUUCCCGCACGGACGAGGUGAAGUCUUGGGCCGUCGAAAUUUCUUUCUGUAGGUGACUUGUCCUGUUUACAGCACUCUCUCGAAGGCUACCUACUGCUGUUUGGACCUGCAAUACAUGCCCAUGAUCAACAGUGUGUAUCAGUGGAGUGGUAGUUCAGGUCAUCCAUCCAUCAGAACACUAUUUCUUUUCAUGGGACAUAAUAUACUAGAUUACAUUAAUCAGAUGGAUUCAAAACAAGGGAGCCAAUGGAUAAUCCUUACCAGCUGCUUCUUCCGUGCGUUGGAACUUGCAAGCAUCUCCGCCACCUUCUCUAGAAGUUGCUUUUCUUCAUUAGCAGCACACUCCUGUUAAAAGGAAUAAAAUUAUAUUAUGUCGCAAAAUCAUAUCCUCCGAUGAACUGCAUAGCCAAUGUAAUAAUCACCUCAAAUUUCUUUUCAAGGUCAAGAAGUUGUUGAUCUUGCACACUUUGUGUGUCCUCCAAAAUACUGGUGAGUUUAGAUGCAUGAACAUCUAGCGAGUGGAAGAAACCAGAGGUGAUCUUAGAGAUGGACCGUGAUGCUUCCACAGCUCUCAGGUGUCCCUGUGCCAACAACAGAAGUUAGAACAGAAAAUGUGGCUUAGGAGAACAGCAAAUGAUUCCAAGUUCAGAUACAGACCUCCCUCUGCUUAUUUGCAAAAUGGGCUAGUCUUUCUUCUUGUUUCGCUAGGCUGCACUGGAUCUCAUUUAACAAGUUAUCUGCUUCCAAAGCAAUUCCUCCAAAACACUGUAAACAGAAAGAACCAUAAGAAAUGCUGCAAAAUCUACUGCAUCCACGUUGGUCCAAAUAAGAUGAGCUUACUUUUUCUAGGGCUGAUGUGUGUGAUUGUACUUGUGAAUUUAGUCUCUCGAAUGUUGUCCGAGAAUUCAUGUCGAUUUCUCCAGCUAAACCAUCCAAAGCAGUAAUACCUGAACCAUGCAGGACUCUGAGUUUUUGAACACUCUCCCUGAGCCCUUGUGCUGCCUAAAAAUGGGUAACUGAUGCAUAUCAAUAAAUACUAUUGCAUAUCAUUUCAUACAUAAUUAACUAAGGCGGCGAGAAAUAUACUAAGAGAUUGAGUUACCUCAUCUUUCGAAGACACAAAGGAUUGCAUAUCAUGUUCCAUUUCUUUAAGGUGGUCCUCCUGUUGCAUGACAGAAUUGGAGACGGUAUUAUGCAAGGCAUCCAGCUGAUGGGUCAGUUGAGACCUAAAUCUCUGUACGAGCGAUCUGUUCCCAUCUUCUAUCAUGUCUUUACGCUCUACAAGUAGUCAAGAAUAGUGUCCACUGAAGUGAGACCGAGUCCAUGACAGUCAGAAAAUAGAGUUGAUCAGGUUAAGUUCCCUGGCCUCAAAAAAUAGUUAAGAUCCCUAACCUAUUUUGGAGAAUAACCCAGAAACAUCUGCUGCUGCAUUUUCUAAUUCCUCACGAAGGUUAUAUGCACAGUCUACAAGUGAUUUUUCUGCAGGAAAAACAAAAAGGAGGGUUAUUGAAUGAUUGUAAAAGCAUUAAAUGGGCAUGGGACUGAUUAUUAAAACGAAGCAUGGAGGAACCAUGAAACCCUUGAAAGGUUGUAAAUUGGAUAUCAACUGCAUAGUUAAACUUAGCAAAAAAAAAAACUCAAUAAAGUAAAUGGGCAGAACAUGAUAAGACAUUAUCUUAACAAACCUGAUUUUAGAAGAUUGAAUAUGACAUAUUCCUUUUCUUUAAUAGUAGACUUUGCUUCAUUGUAUUUUUCUUCUAGGUCAUGCAGAGCACUCUUGGUGUCCUCCAGGUCUUUCUACAAUCAAGAGAUGGUGGAAGUGAUAAGAAACAUAUUUGCUGAGAUAAUGUGAAGCCAUAUGACUGAGACUAGAAGGGUACCUGAGUCUUUUCAAGUUUUUCUCCCAAUUCUGCACUUAAAAGUUGUUCAGCAUCAUAAAGAUCUUUUAGUUCAACCAGUUGCUGGUCAUAGAUUUAGCAGAAAAUUUACAUUUCAGUCAUAGUAACAUAAUUGCUUGUUUUCAUAUGCUGAAACAACUAACCUUAUCCCUAGCUUCUAAAUCAGCUCCCAGUCGUUCAAUUUUCUCUGUCAUGGCCUAAGUGACAAAGGUAAUUUGAAAAGGAUGAGAUGAUGAUGAUAUAUAAAAUAAAGCUAGGCUCACUUCAUCUGAACAAAUCCAAAUAUGGGUUUAACUGGAAAAUCAAGAUAAACCUUUUUCUCAGCUUCCUCUUGGAGGUAGCGCUCUCUUGGAAUGUAUAUACCAUUCUUCUCUCUUGCAGCAAAUACCUCUGAAGACAUAUUGGAGACCGAAUGAAUAGAUGAUGUAUGAUACUUAUCACUUCAAGGUACAAAAACUUGCAAGGAGAAGAACCUUGUUUGAGACGGUCAAUUUCAUAGUACAAGUCCUUUAUCAUAGCAGACUUCAUCAUCCUUUGGUUUACCUGAUUUUAACGGUAAGCACAAGUUAGUGAACUUUCUACUGUCUGAAACAAUGAAGCACCAUGAAAUAUCCAGAAAAACACAAAGAUGAAAACCUCAGGUUUGUUCUUGAUAUUUUUUGCACGGUGUGCAUAAUCAAGUGUGCUCAGUGUCUCUUCUAAGCAAUAUACUGAAGGUGAUAUUGUAGCAAUAAUGCAAGUCUUUGUUUUCCCUCCCAAUGAAUCUCUCAGUAAUCUUGUCAGUUUACUAUCUCUGAAACAAAUAGAUUUACAUAUAAGUUCACUUUAGCAAUAGAUUACUAAAAUUAAAACUGCCAUGGGGACUUUCCUUAGAAUUACCUGUAUGGGACAUGUCCAGAGUGCUCAACUAGAGCAUUAAUAACACGACCAAGCGUGAGCAAACUCUUGUUGAUUUCUCCAGCCUCUCUCGCUCUACCCUGCAAUGCAGAUUCAAUAUCAAAAGUGCUUCGUUGAAUCUCAAAGAUUAGGGGGGUACUUUUGAAUGUUUUUAAUCUAUGAACAGGAAAUUCAGAAGUUACUCACAUCUCUAGCACCUGAGCGUGAUAUAUUUUCUGAACCAGCUAGAUCGACAAGAUUAAGCUUCCCAAUUUUGAUCAUCUCCUCACCCUCAUGAGUCAAUUCCUUAAUGUGAAUUGUGAUUGAGAAUAUGGAGUGCGACCUACUGCUUUGCUUGUUCAGCAAUGUCUCUGCAGUGCGCCUCUUUGCAGAACCCUUGUCUAGAAUCUUGUAGAUUUCUCCAGCAGAGUACACAACUUCUUCUUCGAGCCCUCUCACAAAAACAAACCCCUUGCCAUCUUCCAUAAGGGCAAUAGGUUUUUUCGUCUUGUCCUCAGGAACAGGGAAUUUCGGUUCCUCAGCUGCCAACAAAUCAGUGAUUUCUUCAUUGUAAAGCUCAAGAAAGGUGACUUUCAUGCUGUACUCUGCGCACUGAGCCUCAAGAAUGUCAAAAAUUUGCCUUACAGCCCUUGGGAUAACUCCAGCAUCAGUCGGAAGUUCACCAUUCUAGACAUUAGAAGAACUAGUUAACAAUAACAAAUAUGCAGAUCCAAGACACAACUUUGAAUGGCAUGAAUAAGGAAAUGUUUACCUUGACUUUUCUUGUUCCCCCUCCCUCCAUUGUGUAUGUUUUCCCAGUACCAGUUUGUCCAUAAGCAAAAAUAGUGCAGUUAUAGCCCUCAAGGACCUCAUUUACUAUUGGUGAUAUUGAUUGUUCAAAUAAAUCUUUCUGCCUCGAUGAUGGGCCAAAGACCUAACCAAAAUAAUUAAAAAAAAGUUCACUCAAUUUUAGCCAAAACUUGCACACAUAAAAUUUGGAACACUAGGUGAAUUUGAAGUAUCAAAUAACUAAGAACUCAGGUAAUUUCAUAAUAACGUGAUACUAGAAGGUGAUCUAGUACCUUAUCAAAGGCAAAUGUUCGAUCAAUCUGCUUAUUGGCGAUAAUUUGAGUGGCAGCAACCUCUCGACGGCGCUCAUUGCACGAAAUCACCACUGGAGUAUUUGAUUUGGUCUCUUCAUCACUCAAGGGCCUGAAUUUAUCAAAUUACAAAUUGUGAGAACAGAAGUAAAAUCACAAGGAACUUACUGACGGACUAAAACUAGUGAGCCCUCUUCACCUGCAUCUAAGGAUGACUUGCACAUUGACACCCUUCUCCUUAUCACCUUUUGGGAUGGUAUUUGUAUUUGCACCGCCAUUGGCCUCCCCGGAUCUCAAUUCUCUUCCAGACUUCUCAGUCGACCUUGGUGAUGGCGAUGGAGGGCAAUUCCUCUUCUCCAUCUCCAAUUCCUCUGAACAACAGCCCAGCCAAUAUCAAGUUCAGCGGGUUGCCAAUUGCUCGAACAAUUGAACUGAAUAUAAAUCUAAACAACUAGCAGAUUGGGUAUCAGAAUAAAAGACAGACAGUAGGGGACUGGUUGUCAAAAUUUGGCACAGAUCAGGAGAGCAGCACGAAGAGCCAAAGAAAUAAAUGCCGGCCACAAGGAGCAAAAAACGCAGAAACAGACAAUAGCAUCGAGACAAAGGCUAUUCAGAUGCAAAUCUUGGAGAAACCGCCCUGAGAUCUUUACUCGAGGAGACUGAAACAAUAUGAGAUACAAUUGCAGCUGUUUAGCAGAUCAAAACGAGAUCUUUCUGACUCUCACCCUACGAAAGGGAAAAAAACGCACAGAAGAUUGAAACACCAAACGGAUAAUCAGAAACAAGGAGGCAACGCGACUGAUAGAUAAUCUGCGAGUACUUCAGAAAUCCAAUAAGAGCGGACACUUGAAGAAAAAUGGUAUCUGCAGACUGCAACUGCUUAAUUAGCUGCCAAAAUCAAGCCGAAGAACCUCGCCCAGACCAUCAAAAUGAAAUCUUUCUCGCAGGAAGCCACACCAAACCACUCCAUCAAUCAAUACCAGAUGAAGCAACAAAAGCAGUGGCUCUAGAAACACAACCGCAGAGACGAAUCAAGAGGCAGGGGGUGCUCACACUGUCCCACACGCAGACGGGAAAUCCAAGCACGAAGCAAUGCGAUCCAAAACACCUGCAGGACUAGGGGUGUAGGAGCAGAGCAGUAGGUAGGGGGCAGCGGCAAUGGCAAUGGCGAGAUCCAGGGAGCAGGCCCCCCUGAGCUGCAGCGCGGUGACUUCUAGAACAGCUCGUGGUCUCUAUCAAUGGCCUCCCCCUCUUCGCUCUUUCUCUCUCCACCUUUUCCCUUUUAUCGUUGCCUUUGUUUGGAGGCAGCUCAAAUUCGUAAUACUGACGCGCUCAAGCUGUUUGCCAUGUCUAAGCUGUCAGAGUGUCAGGACUCAGGGAGAAAUGUACUCGCUCCAUCCCAAAUUAUAAUCCCAAAUCCUAAAUUAUAAUCCCAAAUUAUAAGGCAUUCCAAAAAUCUUAGAGGGUCAAAGCAUCUCAAGUUUGACCAAAAUUAUAGAGAAAAUUAUAAAGAUUUAUGACAUCAAAUAGGUAUACUAUGAAAAUAUAAUUGAUGAAGAAUCUAAUGAUACUUAGAUGACAUCAUAAAUAUUAUUAUAUUAUUAUAUAAAUUUGGUCAAACUUGAGAUACUUUGACUCUCCAAGAUUCUUGGAAUGACUUAUAAUUUGGGAUGGAUGAGUACGUUGGACUAGGAUCUUUUGCCGAAACAAGAUUUUAGUUUUUCAUCAGUUGAUUCCGCUGUCAUAAUACCUAGUAUGUUAAAAAAACGAUUUUCUCCAGGUGGCGUUUUCUUCCUUCUAUUUAUUUUGGAUUUCAAUAAGCCAGUAACAGAAGUAAAAAAAGUCGAUUUGUAGCUAAUAAUCGUUGAUGCCAUUUUGACCGGAUUUUCUAAAGUUUGGGUUAAAUUUUGAUUCAAUGUCUUCAAAUCAAUGAUUUGCAUUUUUUUAUCCUACGAAAAGUAUAUUAGUCUAUUCGUGUUCCUUUUGUUAGGUGUUGAUUGGAUUUGAUUAUUGUGUUGAGUAUGCUAAAGCAGAUCUAUCCAAAUGUACAUGUCUUUUGUAAUUUAUUUAUUGAUGACCAGUGGAGUAGAUUAGUGUACCGACUCUUCCCAAUGAGCUGUUAACCAUCAAUCUCAACCUUGCUUUUGACCGGGUUUUCAUGCGUUUGACCGGGCCAGUCAAGGAAAUACGAUCAAGCAGCAAGGUGGUAACUAAACCUAAAUGGCAAAGAUACUUAACCUAUUUCUAGAGGAAAAUAAUCAAAUUGAAUUUUAGGUGAAAAAUAACAUUUUCAAGUAAUUACGUUAUACUGUCGAAAUUCAAUGUUCAAUGCUCAUAAAAGCAUAUUCUUUUUGUCAGCACUGAGGCGGUGCCUGAAAAUCACAUAGCUUGGCGAUUGAGAGUUGCUAUAUUCCCUUUUUGGUUGCUAGUCAAAACUGCUGACAAUAAAAGCUCAUAUCCUUGCAAAAAGAAGAAAAAAAGUAAAUAGAUGAAUGAUAAAUAAAUCACCCAUUAAUAACCAUGGAUGAUAAAUUGAUGAAUUAUGGUACGUAGUCACACUCAAUGGUGGAAAUGUAACAUCCAAGGUUCAUGCCUUUUAGUUUACAGAAAAGAACAAGUUUGCUGUUGAUUUUGACAGGAAUGCAGGAUUCAUGGGUCCUUUUCCAAGCCCUACUGUUCUAGGCCAAUGGUUCCUUUCUGAUUGAAACUUUUUUUAAAGUGUUGAUAAAAGUACUAAUUAUAAAAAAAAAUGCUGUUGAGAUAACCUCCCAUCCCAUCUCUUGCAUUGGUCCUUGAAUGAAUAUCACCUUGAUGGGCCCAAACUCCCAAGUGAAAAUGCUGCAUCUUGGACAGGAUCCGCGCCAAAAACAAUACAAGCUCACAUCUCCCAAGUGGGUGUUUAGAUUCUAGAAUUAAAGUUUAGUCCAUGUUACAUCAAAUAUUCGGAGGCUAAUUAGGAGGACUAAAUAUGAGUUAAUUAUAAAACUAAUUACGCAGAUGGAGGCUAAACGGCGAGAUGAAUCUAUUAAACUUAAUUAAUUCAUCAUUAGCAAAUGGUUACUGUAGCAGCACAUUAUCAAAUCAUGGACUAAUUAGGUUUAAUAGAUUCGUCUCGCCGUUUAGCCUCCAUCUGUGCAAUGAGUUUUGUAAAUAGUCUAUGUUUACUCCUAAUUAGUAUCUAAACAUUUGAUGUGACAGGGGCUAAAGUUUAGCCCUGGAACCAAACAGCCCCUAAGUGAUUUAAGACUAAACACCCCCUGCAUUUGUGCAAAUUACCAGCUUCAAUCCUAAACACCUUUGAUGCUAAUUACUAUGACUAGCAGUUCCAAUUCACUAUUCAGUAAUAGUUGUAAGUGUGAUCUCUGAAAUUAUGUCCGAGUCCAAACUGUAUGUGUGUACAUGUGUCAUGUGCUAAUUUCCCCCCCCCCCCCCCCCCCCCCCCCCCCCCCCCCCCCCCCCCCCCCCCCCCCCCCCCCCCCCCCCCCCCCCCCCCCCCCCCCCCCCCCCCCCCCCCCCCCCCCCCCCCCCCCCCCCCCCCCCCCCCCCCCCCCCCCCCCCCCCCCCCCCCCCCCCCCCCCCCCCCCCCCCCCCCCCACACACACACACCUCUUAUGCUCACUUCUUUUAUCCUUGAACAAUGGUCGGUGGAAAUGUUAACUGUACUUGUAUUCUUCUAAACUAGUAAUUUAGCCCUUGUCUUGUGCUGCAAAAAGGUACUGCUGCAUGCAUAUUUGUUUCGCUUGGGAAGCUUUUGUCACUGCAAGGGAAUCGUCUAGCAUAUGGUAUGUUGCACACAAUAUUCUACUACUUGACACCGUAGAGUAAAAUUUUGGCACUCAUGACUAGUCCACCGCGAGUCCACGAGGUGAUGAGAAUCUUUCACAGAAGACAAUGACCCCUUUUUUUUUUGUCAGAGUCUCCGCAGAUAAGAGUCGGAUCAUGUAACACGUAGUACACGUACCAGCGGCGACAGUUAUCAGCUUUGCUUGAGAUCAAAGUAAGAGGAGGAGACAUCAGAUCGAUCAGAAGGAAUGGAUGAAGCUACUACACAUCCAGUUCCAUAAUUGGCCACUGUCCUCUGUACCAGUAGCUCACCAACUUCAACGGUUUUCAUUCCUCCGGCCGGCUAAUGCUUGGGGCACUCAGCCCUAUGCAUCUUCGUAUAUCUCUACAUUGUAUUGUAGAUUUAAAAAGAAAAAAAAAGAGGACGGUGGUCAACAAAAAAAGAUUCUUGAAGAUUUGGGCCUGGUUUGGUCCUUGACUUAUUUUUAAGCACCCGUCACAUCGAAUGUUUAGAUACUAAUUAGGAGUAUUAAACGUAGACUAUUUACAAAACCCAUUACAUAAGUGGAGGCUAAACGGCGAGACGAAUCUAUUAAGCCUAAUUAGUCCAUGAUUUGAUAAUGUGUUGCUACAAUAAACAUUUGCUAAUGAUGGAUUAAUUAGGCUUAAUAGAUUCGUCUCGCCGUUUAGCCUCCACUUAUGUAAUGGGUUUUGUAAAUAGUCUACGUUUAAUACUCCUAAUUAGUAUCUAAACAUUCGAUGUGACACGUGCUAAAAAUAAGCAAAGGGAACCAAACGCCCCCUUGGUUGGAGGGAAAAAAAAACAGUCGCCUCCUGAAGUGAAGUAACGGAUUGUACUGGACCGUACCGUGCGGCACCUCGACUGCCGUCGUCGUCACUCGUGUAGAAUGAUGAUUCAGGCAGUUGCCCUCAGGGGGUGUUUGGAUACAAGGUACUAAACUUUAGGAGUGUCACAUCGGAUGUUCGGACGCUAAUUAGGAGGACUAAACAUGAGCUAAUUAUAAAACUAACUGCAGAACCCCUAUACUAAUUCGCGAGACGAAUCUAUUAAGCCUAAUUAAUCCAUCAUUAGCAACUGGUUACUGUAGCACUACAUUGUCAAAUCAUGUACUAAUUAGACUUAAUAGAUUCGUCUCGCGAAUUAGACUCCAUCUGUGCAAUUAGUUUUGUAAUUAGACUAUAUUUAAUACUUCUAAUUAGUAUCCAAACAUCCGAUGUGACAUGUCCUAAACUUUAGGAGGUGUUUCCCAAACACCCCCUCACCAUUUUUACUGCCAAGUACCAACCGGAGAUACUACCCGGAAGAAGGGCAGAAACGUGUCGAGAUUUUACUGACCUGCAGCCGACAGCCAGCAGCUGUGGUUGCCCGCCAGUCUCUCGAAUCCUAGUACAGCUCUCCAAUCUCUCGAAUCCUCUAGCCUUUGCCAUUCCCUCCCUCUCCAAUCUCUCUGAAAUCCUCCAUCUCUCUCGGCGUUGGCAGGGGAGCGGCGACCAUCUCUCCAAUCUUGUCAUGCACCAAAAUCUAUCCACCAUCUCUCCAAUCUCUCUCUCCACAGCUCGGCCGGAGCACCAAAAUCUCGUCAUGCGGCAGGAGCUAUACAAUUCUAGAUCGAGACAAGAAACGUGAGGCAUGCCCGCCUUGGCAAUCUGCGGACGGCCGCCGUCGCCCAGGGACUCGAUCUGGUUCAGCACGGCGCUCGACGCCGACUGCGGCCUACGCUCGUCGUCCGCGGCGCCGGCGGGGCCGUCGUUCCACGUCCUCCGGUUGCCGUCAUUCCAGGGGGACUCCUCCGUCGCUCCGCCGCCGAAGGAGCCGCUGCAGGUCUCGUCGCCGGCGGUGGCAGCGUUGGGAUGGGGAGCGGCGGCGGGUGGCCUUGGAACCGCGCAGGCGAAACGCGUGGCGCGGCCUUCACGGCAGUGUCGUAGGCGCCGAGCCACACGCGCGCGCCCUCCGCGUGAACAAUCUGCUGCAGCAGGGCAACCACCGACAGCCUCGGGGGCAACGCGACGAAGAGCGCUGGUAGCAGUGUGGCGGCCAGAGCUUCUCCGCGUGCCCACGGGGCGGGCGGUGGGCAGAGCAGCGCGGGCGGCGACAGGCGGGGCGGCGGCGCAUCGUUGAGUUCUAGUUAGGAGCGUUCGUGUGUGUGUCGUGCAGCAUGGCGUAGUGGCCAGGACCUACAAGUGCAAGCAGAUCGGCAGCCAUGACGUGAGUGUGAGUAUGUGUUGCGGUGUGCGGCCAGGUGCCUGGUUGAGACAUGGCGAUUGCUUAGGAGAAAAUCAGCAGAUGCAUGUGUUUGUUAGUCUGAUCAGCAUGCAGGCACACGUUGGCUUGGAGUUGUGGUCAAAUCUAAGUGAACGAGUCAUGGCGAGAAAAGUGGAUCAGAUAGCUCAUGCAUGGAGUCGUUAGUGGUGAUCGUGCGGCCAGACGUGGCUCAACCAGUGCCAGUGUGUGCUUGCGUGUUUAUUUAAGUCGUAAUCGCCGCGUCCAUCAGGCUGUGGUGAAGAGAAUAGAAGUGAUGUGGGCGCUGAUGUGCAGUGCCGUGAAAAAGAGACUUCUCGUGUGUGCCUCUGCUUGUGAAUGUGUACGUGUUUACCAUACACCUGAGCGAUCAUAGAGUUUCGUGAGUUCGUGAGGAGACUGAUAGAUUUGGUCAUUUCCAACAAGCAGCGCGGGGCGUGGGGGCACAGAGAUUUUCCCGAGGUAAUGGAGGGACGCUAUGGUCUUUUACCAGUUUUUAAGCUAGUUUAGCGGGGGCGUGGGGGCAUAGAGAUUUUCCCGAGGUAAUGGAGGGGCACUAUGAUCUUUUACCAGUUUUUAAGCUAGUUUAGCUGGGUUCAACUAGCUAAAGAAUUCCUGUUUGGAUCCAUAGCUGCUAAAGUUAGCUCCUGUUUGGAUCCAUAGCUGCUAAAUUUAGGCAGCUAACUGAUGGAUAAAAAGUCUAACUCUCGGUCGUUAGCUUCUCUUACGACCAUCAAGAAGUUAAUUAAUCACGCAUACAGAAACAAUAUGAUGUACUCAUUUUCAUUUUCAUGUAAAAAUUCAUUUUCAUGUGCGGUUUUAUCUGCGAAUCAAGACGACUGCCCUUAAUUAUCUUGAUGGACCAGAAGUAUGCAUACGUGUAGAUUGUCCUUAAUUGUUUUCGUCCUCACAUGCAUUCUACUCAAUACUCCCUCCGUCCCAAAUUACUAUUCGUUUUGGCUUUUUUAGAUACUCCCUUCAUUUCAAAUUAUAUGUCGUUUUGAAUUUUUUAUUCAUAAAUAUUUGUAUGCAUAUAGAUAUACACUAUAUUUAAGUGCAAAGUCAAAACGACCUAUAAUUUGGAACGAAUGAAGUACAUAGGUUUUUGCUACGUAUCUAGACAUACAUACAUCUAUAUCUAUAUCAAAAAUUUUAUAUCUAGAAAAACUAAAACGAAUAGUAAUUUAGGAUGGAGGGAGUAUAUGCGAUGCUUCAUUUCAAGUGUAGUAAUUAGGGAAUAUCCUUGCUUUUAGUAGCAAACAUCAUAUUGCUCCCUACGCUUUAUAAAUGCAUGUGAGGACGAUCGAAAUGGCAUUAAGAUCGAUGGGUAUAUGAUUAUGAUGAUCCGAUCCAUGUCACGCAGCGGGCGCACAUCACAUGUGUGGUGCUGAGAGAUAUGGAGCAAUUAAUUCAGAGCAUGCAUGCAACCUCGUGUUUGUACGGUUUGUUUGCACAUAAUUGGCCUCUUGCAGAGAUGGACGACGAUCCGGCAUUACAAUGCAUGCACUUGAUAUCGGUAGUUGACAGGGCCGGGACCGCCGCCAUAGGCACGCGUGCAUCAUGACAAAUGAAACAACAAUAUGCAGCAUGCAUAAUUUUUUUUUUUGACAUUUUUUGCAGAGAAACUUUUGCUAGUAGGUAGGUAGCGCAUGGUCCAUGAUACGAUGAUAUUUGGCAGCCCAACAACAACCAAAUCUGAUAUCCGUGGAGUAGGUUUCUACACUUGGCAAGAUUUUGGCGUCCUCAAUUAGCAGAGUCAACAAGAAAGAAAUCUAUUGAUCUAUGUAACCUGCAAAUGUCAAGAUCCGUUGUAGUCUAGCUGGUUAGGAUACUCGGCUCUCACCCGAGAGACCCGGGUUCGAGUCCCGGCAACGGAAUCUUCUUUUUUCCAGUUGCAGUUUAAUUUAUGGCCCAAUGGUACGAUGAUAUUGGGCAACCCAUGAACAACCCAAAUGCAUGGGCCAUCGACUGUGCUAAAUGGGCCACUAAGAAGCCCAACGUCCAACUGCGACGUCGGUUCUUCUACUGACCUGCCCGGAGCCCACCACCACGUUGUUCCUCGUAAUCUAGGCCCGUCCAUAGCUUUUCAUUUCCAUCGUUUUAUCGUCUCCUUCUUCAUCUUUGUUUUCUUGCAAGUUCUCACUUCUGACUUUUUCUUUAACGAGGAGAGCUGCCGCUUAUAUUAAAAAUAAGAAUAAACUUAGAUCGGACAAUAAAAUAAAGAAACAACAUUAGCCGGUUAGAUCGAGACAUCAACCUGCGCCGUACCACGCCAACGUACAACUCAACUCAACCACACAACAUCGGUCGGUUAGAUUGGGACAUUAAUCGGAUCUCUCUCAACUCUGCUCGGUCGGAUUGGGACAUCGACACGAGCCUCAAUGAAGACUCCGCCCGCUCGGAUUGGGACAUCGAUACGAGCCUCAAUGAAGACUCCGCCCGCUCUCGGAUUGGGACAUCGACCCGAGUCUCCACGAACUCUGCCUGGUCGGAUUAGGAUGUCGACACGAGCCACCACACAACCAACGUCACAUACUGGUUCCCUUUUUUUAAAAAAAAAGAAAGAGAAAGAAAGAAAAGAAAGCACCCUCUCGGAAGCAACCAUCGCUGAAGCAAGCCACCUUGCCCGAAAUGCCUGACAUCGCCUUCAAGAAGGUCAUGACGUCGAAGAUGUCGUCGAUGCCAGUCCAAAACUAGGUUGGGUUUUCACCAGCCUCAUCCGACAGGAAGACCGGCAUCCAAGCCGUUGGCCCCAGACAGGAGCCAAAGCCCGCGCAAGAGAUGCCCACCGUCACCUUCAAGAAGGACAUGACGCCAAUGGCGCUAUCUACGCCGUCCCAAGGAGGGAUGGUUUUCACCCACAUCGUCACUACGGUGUAAAGAGACGGUCGGCGCCACCAGCCCUACCACCAUGGCGCUGCUGGUGAGCCUCCGUGCGGUUGCAGCCAACGACACCACCACGGCGUCACCGACACACCGCUGCACACCACCUUGGAGCCCGCCCGCCGCAGGGUCAAGCCGCAACGCCAUUGGAGUGACUAGCUGCCGCAGGGCCGCAGCCCCAGCCACAUCACCACGGAGCUGCUGGGUGACGCCGUGCGCCGGCAGCGGGUGCCACCGCUGCUGAUGCGGAGGGCAGCUGCCACACGCCGGCCGCGGGCGCCGCCGCAGCCGAGCCACGCCUCGCACCGUCCGCCGACGCCACCGUAGCCGAGCCACGCCGCCCGAGCCGUGGUCACCGGCGUCGUCGUGGCCGAGCCAAUCCGCACGCCCAAUGCCGCGCCACACCGCCGCUGGGCCCGCCGCCAUCGCAAAUCCCCAACAUGCCGAGGCUCCGGGGAAGCAGAUCUGGCGGUCGAGGGUGCGAAUCCGGCCAUAGCCAGGGCGGAUCCGGCCGCGGACGGCCGGUGGGAACCGCCACCGCCAUGGCCGCCACCAAAGAGAGCGUGAGAGAGGAGGAAAGGAGAGGAGGAGGGUGGUGGAGCACCGCCGUCGCCUUCCUUGCGGCCGCGCGGGCUUCCAGCGGCCGCUUGGGCGACGGCGAGGAGGGGAUGGAAGGGGCGGCGGCACCGGCGCUCGAGUUCCGCCCGAGCCACCCCAAGGAGAGUUCUGACUUCGUUUUCCUUGCAAAGUUCUGACUUGCGCAUCUACGAUGACUUCUGAAGGGGUUGUUUGGAUCUCCUGUUUUACGAAAAUAAGAUUCUGUAAAACCUGCUUUUCCGUAACCACCGCUAAAAUCGUGUUUGGAUCCCGCAACCACCUCCCGUUCAAGGGAAACCUGAUUUUCACGAAACCCAAAAAAUGCAUAUUAACAAAAACGGAUCCUCAUCAUUUUUAGCGGAACUGGUUUUCCAUAACCAUGAUUUCGGCGCCAACAUAAUACAUCAUUUUCCCACUGCAACGCGCAAAACUUUCUCUUGCAAUCGUGCUUUUCACGCCUAAUGUUGCCGCCUAAGCAGGAUAUAAGAAGCCCCAACUAGGUUAGCAUCUAAUUAAUCAAUCGACAUUGGAGAAGGUCGCCCGCCGCCGCCGGACCGCUAGCCGGACUGUUGGUGAAUCGCCAUCCCUUUCGUGACCUCCUUCAAUCACUCAAGUCCAAUUUAACAGCCAAUAGCUGCAUUGAUCUCAGGUAAUAUCUUCUUCUUAUGCAUAAAUUCAAUGCAAAAUAAUGGGUCAUCAUUGAAUAGUAACACAUCUAGCUUGUUGCCUGCAUAGAAUUGAAACACACAGUUAGCUGUUAGAACAUGCAAGUGUAAAUGCCAAAUCUCGCACUUGUGAUUCCUAGAGUUGAAUUCUUCUCUUAUAGAUGGUAGUGUUUAUGUUUAAUAAGGUCUGUAUAAGCAAUCGCCAUACUAUAUGGGUUCCUUUUAGAAAAACAUGGAGGACUAUGUGGACAAAAAGAUUUGCAUAAAGAGGCACACAUGGAAAGCUAGCGAGGACAAAUCCCUCCUCAACAUCUUGAAAGAUCAAACCCUGAAUGGUGGAAAAGAAGGUACCACGUACACAAAGGUAGCAUGGCGUGAAAUCUUAGCUUCCUUCAAUAGUGCUAGAGUUGAGAAACUUGAACUGCAACAAUUGAAAAAUCGAUAUAAGUACUUCAGGUCCUGCUAUACUACCAUGAACAAACUUCUUAGUUACACUGGAUUUGGUUGGGAUGACGAUGACAAAAUGAUCAAGGCUACCAAGGAAAAAUGGGAGGAACUUAUUGAGGUAUGUUGUAAUCUAAUGGAUUUUCUAUUAUGUAACUUUGUUAAAUUCCAAAGUUCAGUGCACAAUUUAACCAACACAUUAACACAUUGUAGAAAAACAAUGCGGUUCAAGAAUAUCGUGAUAAAGUGUGGCCUAGUUGGAUAGAUCUUCAAGAGAUAUGUGCAACUUCAACUGCACAAGGGUCUCGUGCUACAUCAAGCAAAGGGAAAGGUGCAAGUUUGACAAACAAGCAUACACUAAUUAAUCUUAAUGAGGAAGCUGAAGUGAAGGAAAAUGAAUCCAAUGAGAAACAUGUUAGUCAAGUGGUUACUUCAAGCAAUUCUACUCAAAAUCUAAAGGCGGCAACAAAAAGAUAAAGCCAUCUAAUGCAAGUGGAAGUAAACCUCAAGAUAAUUCUAGAGGCCAAAAGCGCACAGCUGAUGAUGUUGUAAAUGCAAUAGAUAGUCUUGCUGAUGCAACUACCAAAAUAGUUGAAAUGUAGAAAAGAGCAGCCCUACAGGAGGAAGCAUAUUCAGUGAAAGCCUGCAUGGAAAUACUAAAGUGUGUGAGUGGUGUUGACCCAAGCAAGAAAGUAAAGGCUGCAGCAAUAUUUAUAAAUGUUGAACAAAGAUGAGUCUUUGUUGAGAUGGAUGAGGAGAUGCAGACUCUAUGAAUACAUGGACUUUAGAUUUAUGAAUUAGAAACUUAGUUUAUGAUCUUUAGAUUACAUUUGGUUUCUUAAUGCAGACUAUAUGCAUUUUAUUUCCAGCUUGUGAUAGAACAAUCUCUAUUAAUUUUCAUUUUUGAGUGAUUUGUUUGUGUUUCAUAAUCAUGUUUGCUAUGCUCAUGUGAAAUUAAUUUUUUUAUGUACUAAGAAUAUUGUAUCAUGCAGGGUGAGAUGAACUCAUCAGAAGUGUUAGAUGAUGAUAUUUCUGACUCAGAGCAGAUGGUUAUUAACAAUAUCGCUGCUGUGUCAUUAUUUCGUGAUGCGUUCUUCACAAGACUUUUCAAAAGCAGUCGUAACACUUUGAAACUAAGUGGUGCUGAAAGGACAAGGCAACUACUUGAAGGCCAUCCUAUUAGAUUUUUUGAGCAACUACGUGUUGAUAAACACACUUUCUACUUGCUAAAGGAUGAACUGUGCGAGAGAAAUUUACUUCAGGAUACACUGAGAAUGACAGUGGAUGAACAGUUAGUGAUGUUCCUCCAUGUUGUCGGUCACAGUAUUAGGAAUCAUGUCGUCCAUGACAAACAUCAACAUUCGGGAGAAACUGUUAGUCGACACUUUAAUAAUGUUUUAAAUGCGAUAAAUGGUUUGCGUGAUAUAUACAUAACAGACCCACCCAAUGAAGUGCCCCUUAAAAUUAGAGCUGAUUCAAAAUACUACCCAUAUUUCAAGGUAAGUUUUCUAUCAUUGCUUGCUCAUUUGUAAUUGUCUUGUCCAUUAUUCUUUCAGUAAAUAAAGUUUAUCUUACUAUUUACAUUGAAGAACUGUCUUGGAGCAAUUGAUGGCACACAUAUUGAAGCAAAAAUCAAGUUUGAUGAGCAAACUCCCUACAGAAAUAGGCAUGGUUUUCCAUCUCAAAAUGUUAUGGCAGUAGUAUCAUUUGACAUGACAUUUACGUAUGUAGUUGCUGGUUGGGAAGGUUCUGCAUCAGAUCAAACUUAGCUUAAAUGGGCUGUUACUGGCGGAGGUUUUGUUGUACCAGAAGGUAAAAAGAAAAGCUGUGUGAAGUGUUAACAAUGUCUAUCUUUCUCUAGUCCUGAUUGAUUGACAAAUGGCUUUAUUUUGCAGGUAAAUAUUAUUUAGUGGACUCGGACUAUGCAAAUACACCAAAAUUUGUUGCACCCUAUCGUGGUGAUCGCUAUCACAUUGGCUCUUUUCGUGGAAGUAACCGGCACUACAAAGGUGAAAAGGAUUUAUUCAAUCAUCGACACGUAUAGCUACAAAAUGUGGUGGAACGCACUUUGGGUGUUCUGAAAGCCCGCGUUUCGAUUUUAAAAUUUAAAGGAGGAAUUCCUUAUCCAUAUGAGACUCAAGUAAAAAUUGUUAUGGUUUGUUGUAUAAUCCAUAACUUUAUACGAAAGGCUACACGGAAUGAUGAGUUGUUUGGGCUUUACGAGGAUACGGGCAUGGAAGAGAAUUGUGAACUUGGUGAUGAACCAGUAAGAAGUCGAUCAAAUAUACGAGAAGAUGAACGGGUUGCUGGUGAGCGUGUCCGUGGAAACAUUGCUCAGCAGCUGUGGACUAACCAUCAACAACGUACUGCACAUCCAUCUCAUGAUGAUUAGUCAUGGUUUUAUCACCUUCAGGCUUCAAGUUUUGUUAUUAGUUACAAUAGAUUAUUUAAGUGCAACAUCUUGUAUUGGAUACAUUACUCUGUGUUUUUCUAACUUCAUGUUUUAGUUCUGAACGUUUGAUUUAUCAACUAGAAACAUGUUAGUCAAGGUACUGCUAUGCUUCUAGCACAUGCCCAAUUUUAUUUGUACAAUAAACUAAAUGUGAAUUCAUUCUACUUUUGUCAGUUACUAUAGAAGACUUUCUCAUCAGGAUAUGCAAGUACUGAAUCUAAAUCUAGUGCGGCAGCAAUAUUGCAAAAUUAACAUGACACCCAAGGCAAAAUAGGAUCAUUAGCUACAGCGUGCAAGUAAGAAGGGAAGCAAACUUACCAGUACAUAGGCAACAGGGAAGUUAUCAAGUAUGAGUGACGGCGUUGAUGAGAUACACAUGGUAGAGGAAGCCAUUGUAGCUCGGUGGUGAGAUCCGGUGCGGCGCCUUCCAGAAGAGCCCCCCUCACCGCCGCCGCCACCGCCGCGAAGUUGCCGAUGCGUCGUCGGGGCCACGGGAAUGCUCUCUGACUUCAUUUCAAAGUAGAACAUGCCAAUGCCACGCAGGAAUUAGAGUAAGACAAUCCAUGUCUCAGCCUCCAGGAAGCGUCGCUUGAGUCGCCGUGGAGCCUAGGCUGCCUGAUUUGGUCGAUGGCGGUAAGAAGAUACGGCGAUGAGCGGAUAAGAUGGGGAAAAGUGAGUGGGAAAGAUAAAGAGAGAGGGCACGGUAGAAAGAACGAGAGGUGAACUUAUCCACGGUAGACGAGGCGGCGGAGUGGAGCAAAGCACGAGGAGCCCUGCACACAGGAGUGGAGCACUGCUGCCUAGCGACCAUGCAUGCACCGCUGCACAUCAUUUCUACUAACGAACAGUAGUGGAGAAUAAUUUGAUCAUUUAUUGGGCUGAUGGCGAGAGAAAGUGAAAUAAGUCGUGUGAUGUUUUGAGUAAUAUACGUCAUAUUUUAAUUUUAUAGCCAAACAAGUUACUCACAAAACUUGUAUUCAUCCUUCGUCAUCCAAACAAGAUACUCAUAAAACACAAUUUAACGGAACAACUAACUAAAACUGAUUUUACUAAAAAUCCUCUACAAACACGUUUUACUACAACAGAUUUAUCUUUCAAGAGAUCCAAAAAACCACGAAGUGUCCCAUCCUCGCUUGGGAAACCACCGAAACACUUCGGGUACACCCAUUUCUGCUUAUCUAAACUUCCAUUUUUUUUUUGUUUUCUAAAUUUUUUUCACUUUUCUUCGUCUUCUUUAAAAUUGCCUCUCUCGAAAUCAAAUCUCCAGGUCAAUGAUUACAACAGGCAAAACCAAAAAUCGUAACAAGACGCAACCAUCGCCUAGAUGCGCGCGUGCACGCAACCAUCGCCUAGAUGCGCGCGUGCUCCCUCCCUCCCUCCCCCUCUCACACAAAAGAAAAGGGCGCCAAAAUAAAUAAAUAAAUAAAACCUCCCCCUAACUAACUCGCCGUGCGCCCGUGCCUUGCAACCCAUCCAUCCCCGCUUCCCCCAACAAACCGUGCGUCUUCCCCCUCCGCUGGCGACGGCGGCGAGGCGAGGCGACUGACCACCGAAAUCGGGCCCUCUCCGGCGACCGCCACCCCCAGGUAUCCCUCCAUUCCACGGCCGCCUCGUCCGCUACGAGUCUAGGAGCCCUGUCCUAUGUACCCCACCUGCUUGGAUGGAUGGACCGGGGGCAAUUCUCGUCUUCUUCCCUAGGGCUAGGGUCUUUGCUGCUGCUUGCGAUGGAUCAGCGCCAAAUCUUUCGCUCCCGUUCGGGGCCUUCUACUCUGUUCCGUCCAGUCUGCUACGAAUUUGUCUCGGGGAGUAGUUGCCUGCGACCGGGAUUGCUGGCGGGUUCAGCUGCAGUGAACCCCCCACCCGGCGGCCAUGUGAAAGUCCGUUCCCCGCCUGAUUUCUUCUUCCGGUUGGGGACGGAUGCGAACUGAAUCUGUUAGUCGUCUUGGAUCCGGAAGUGGGUUUUCACUGGGGCAGUUGACUUCUUGACCCACUGAACACUUUGAUUGAUGGAUCGAUCCGUCGGUUGUUGCAUUUCCCCCAAUCUGAUUUCUGGCCUGGAACGUCAUUCUGACAAGGGGAUAGACACCGUUUCCCUGCAUCAGCAGUCAGCAGAUGAAAUCAAACGGAGGAAAAACAGUUUGUAUUUUUUUUAAUUUCUUGUCUUGUGAUUAUGAUUGCUGCACUUGAUGGGAUUGGGCUAUGUCACCAUCAUCAAAAUAAAUAAAUGGAUUACUUGGUACCUCCGGAGUUUACCUAGUUUAUGAGGGAGGAGCUUGCGAUGCUGUUGCGUUGUUGGCGCUCUUUGUCCCUUUCUCUGUAUUCCAUUAUUUAGGUUACUGGUUCUCUUCAUCUCAACGGGCCAUUCGCUUAUCCUGCAGGAGCAAUGGCUCUGUCUUCGCCGAUACGGAUUUCCCUCAUUGUUUCGUUCUUUGGGAUUCUGGCGUUCGUGUUUGGCGUCAUCGCGGAAAACAAAAAGGUCAGGCCCGGUUCCUGUUAUGAACGUUGUAUCAAGGAUGAUGAACUUCGGCGGAACACCACACACUAUCGUUAUUGCGGAUUUCCUCUAAACAUACUUGUGAUGUGAUGUUGCCUUUGUUGCAGCCUGCUGCUGGGACUCCUAUCCAAGGAAAGGAUGUUGUCAUCUGCAAGUUUCCAAGUGAUCCAACUAUUGCAAUGGGAAGCCUGUCCCUUGUGGCGCUCGUUGUAGCUGCCAUUGUAGGACACGUUGCUAUCUUUUUCCCGUACUCGGGCAAGUCAGUACCUCGUGGAGCGCUCUUUCAAAGCACCAGCUUGACUGUGUUCUUCGUUGUUGCAGAGUGAGUAUCCUUUCAGCUAUAUGGCUAAAAAUCUCACGUGAAACAUUAUGCCUUCUAUGUUAUAUAUUACUUCUUUUAUGGCUCACUUGUUGGGUCCUCUCCUGCCAUUUGGUGAUAUUGAACUGCAAAUGAUCCAUCCAAGUUUUGCAUUCCAGAACUGUCUUCCCUGACACUGAAGUCAUUUCAUUGAGUUCUCUUCGGUAUAAUAAUGCUAAUCAAUGCUAAAAGUGUAGAAUUGCCCAUCUAGAAGGUUAUUGAACUAAAUCUUGUAUUGUGCAAUCUUCUGCUUUGAUGAUUCGGAGUUUUGGCAUACAAUCUAUUGAAGUCUUAUUUCCAUUAGCACCAUUGUAUGAUUAUACUGUGCAUCAUGCUGUUUCCUGCACUUAAAUUAAUUUGGAGUACUGAAUAUGCACAUAGUUGAUUCUGUUUGCUUUAUGUGAAAUCAGGCUUGUCUCGGCCCUGGCUAUUGCAAUGUUGCUCUGGGCAACUGUUACUGAGGGCCUUCACCGCAGUAACACAAUCCACCACGACAUGACUUACCAGUGCCCUACUGCAAAGACUGGCCUGUUUGGUGGCGCCGCUUUCCUUGCCCUAGACGCUGCUCUCUUCUGGCUUGUUUGCCAGAUGCUGGCCCUCAAUGCAAGGGCUGAUUACCUGGAUGAGGAUGACAACAAGGGUGAAUAUGGCCAGGUUUACGCUGCUGAAGUUGAUGGCUCGAAGGUCUGAGCCCGUGUGAUCAUCACAUCGUCAGAGUUUUAUGAUUAGUGCCGCUUAACUGUAUUAUGUCGUCAACAAAGUCACUGUAGCUCUCUUAAAUUUGUAUAUACGUGUGAUGCUGGCUGCGAAGUCGUAAGGCUAUUACUUAUUCUGCAUUUUCAGAUUUCAGUGUGAACAAUAAACUGCAUUCUCAAUACAAUUGGUUUGCUACUUCCCAAAGUGAACUUAACCUUGCUAUACCGCUCUGUUUUAUGCUGAGACUGUAAUCCUGGGAGCUUGUUCCAAAUAUCAGAGCUUCUGUAUGAGGGGCACUAUGCCGGAGGGGCUGAAUUUCAGAAUGUUGUACAUAUUUACAUGCAUAGGGGAUAAAUUCAUUUGACAUCUCAGGUCAGAAGCAUUAGCUACAAGGAUGAAAUAUAAUGAAUAAUUUCAUAUGCUGUAAUAUAUUAAGCUUGAGCAUACUAUUGUUUAAGUUACACUGUAAAUUGUGGUUUUGAUGUCCAUCAUGUUCAGAAUAUACUCUAUGUGCUACCUUAAGCAACAGGCAUUACAAGGACCGGAUUCCUAUGUUUUUGCCCUGCAGUCUUUGAUUGACCACUGACCCAAAACCGUUUGGUUCAGAACUAAACUCAUGGAACUUCCAGAUUAGGAUCAGGCACCAAUGUCAUGCCUUGAUCGCGUCUGCCAUUCUCAGCAGUCAAGCUGAACUGCUUCCAAGUCAGCUAAGUAGUGGAGGCUACCACUAGUGCAGCACUGGUGUUACGCAAAUUGCAAGUGUCUUCAUUCUUCAAGGCCUUCUACUUCCAAACAUGAACAAUGAAUGAAGUACACUGCACCAUGGGAAAAGAACAGUUUCGAUGUAAGUACCAAUAUAUCUAGGAAUGGGAAAAAGAUUUCCACUCUGCAAGGUCUGACAGAGGAAUGUAGGAUAAUUCCUUGGACUUUUUUCCUCACAUUUCGUGACAUGAAUAUUCAGCCAAAAAAACACGACAUGAAUUAUGCACCAUUUAAGAAAUAGUUACUGGACUUGUAUGCAAUGAGAACUACAGUUUAAUCUGAACAUCUCAAAAGAAAACUGACCAAUCUAAUGAUCCAAAAACACAGGGAAGAUAAGGCAGAAAGGAAAUUCAGUAGAACUCUGAGUAAUGAUAGUUUACCUAAGUCCUCGUCAGUUUCAAACAUGGUUGAUACUUGACACGAUUCUUGCUCACUGCAAUCAGAGCGGCGUUUAAAGGAUGGUAUAGAAUCUACAUCUAGAAUUUGCACUAACUAAAACUAAAAAUGUUUAUUAUAGGUAUUAGCAAUCCAAUGCUUCAUGUGAGGUGAUGUAGGGGUUUCAGCAUGAUGAUGGUUCAGCACAAAGUUUGGCGAGGUUAUCACAAAAGUACACUCCGUAGGUAAUCCUGUUCGCAACAGCAUCUGACCAGAUCACCUCGACAAACCCUCUGGAGGCGUUACAUGCACCAUGUCAUGUGUAGCUAACCUGUGGAGCUAGAUGGUUUCAUGGUCAGAUGCUAUUAAACGAAUGGGAGCCCCUAAAGAGCCCAACUUUGUGGUGGCCUUCGCAAUCACUGUAUUUCCUCAUUAAGCUAUUUAAAUGAACAAGGCCACAAGGCGUUCAGCUGAGACUAACUAUAUGGAUUACAAGAUAUUCUGUAUGGUUAGAUUUUUAAUAUAAGUAAUUAGUUUUGUGAAAAAAAGGGCAUGUUUACCUGGCUUCUGAGUGUUUAUUAUCAUUUCUUUCAUAGUUUCACUAUCUGUCAGAAAAUGCAGCAAUCUGAUCCAUUCGUUUUACCUGCGUGUGUCGUUGCAUCUGUCUACUUGUCCCCCUCCUCCUUUGAUGCUUUCCUAAGACUUAAUAUGACACCUCCGCUAAGACAGGUGGUAACGAUAGCAAGCGAAGCUUCUGUUGGAAUAUGAUAGCCUGCCAUAAGUAGAAACCCAUAAUUAAAUGCAAUGAAAAGCACUUAAAAGCCAGCAAUGUUACUGGGUGUACUUCUGACGGAGAGAUUAAAACAUUAGGUGAAUAAUGAAUAUUAAUGUGAGAAAACAAGAGCUAGUUGAUGGUUCUAAUUGCUUACCAAAAAAGUCAAAGACCAUCUUUGUCCCGAUGAAGCCCAAAACGAUACCAAUAGAAGGCUGCAGAGCAAAUUGCCAACAGCAGUAAGUGGUGCGGUCAGAUAAUAGAGUAACAUAUGAACCCGUGUGACCAGUCACAAUUGCACAUAGUACACGAGUUUCAAAAGCUAACAAUAAACCAAUACCAUCAAUUACCACUACAUGGACCUAAUUUUCACAAUAGGUGAUGUAAAAUCAAAUGUUUUGUUUGUUCUAAAGAAAGAUAACAGCAGAAGAUAAUAGAUAAUCUCUAAACAUUUAAUAUUAAGAGGUAAAUAACACAAGAAACCUUGCAAUAUACCUGUAGAUACUCUAAUUCAGCCAUGCUUUCAGAAAUGAGCACAUAGAGUGACCGCAAACCUACAUGGUAAUAGUUCCAUCAAGUUAGUUCUCAACAUUGUACAGAAGUGCAGAAAAACUGCAGUAUACACAAGAUUUAGACCAAGCAGAUAGCAAAUCCACCACUAUGGCGGAGGUGGUUCUUGUAAAAAAUUUUAAGCUAACAAAUGCUAAUAGUUGUAUACCAAAAAAAAAACAGACUGAAUUUUUACCAGAAAUAGCAAAAAUAUUUGAUGAUAGUAUUAUAAGUGGAUCCCUUGUGACGCCGAAGACUGCUGGAAUUGAGUCAAUCUGUGGAACACAAAUGUUAACCUAUACACUUGGAGGUCAUGACAAUGAAAAUAAAGUACAUGAAAUAACGUGGGAAGGAGCCUACAGCAAAAGCAAUAUCACUCAGCUCAAUCACUGCCAAAGUCAAGAGUAAUGGUGUGGCCUGCAUACAUUGACCAAAAGAAGAACCACAUCUUCAGGAACAUAUAUAACUUUACGAAGAAUUGAAUAUAGAAAAAUUCCAUGAAAUUAUCCACCCAACUAUGCAUCUGUGUUGUUGUAAAAAGAAGCUUAAUGAUGGACGCUGAAAUAGUAACACACUAAAACAAUGGAGAAUGGAUAAAAAUUGCAAAUUCCCGGACAUAGUCAUUCCAUGGAGCUCUAGUAAAUUAUCCAUCUUAAACUGGGCAACACUUACUUUCCCUAAGCCAUCUUGAAUAGUGAAAAACCGAUCACCAUCAUAAUAAUCUGACAAGAGAAACAGAGGAAUGAGUUAAUCUACACAAGAAGCAAGUGAAUAACUCCUAAAAAUAUGAUGUCGUUCCAACAUUUCAGAUAUCUGAUCAAAGAAUUUGGGUGAGGAGCUGAUCAUUAUGUCUAAAAUCUGGAGUGGACAGUGGAGCAUUUUAAUAACCUAAAUAGAAGAAUGAUAAGGAAUACUGAAAAUCAUUGAAUAAAGUUUAUUACCAGUGACUGGAAUGAACUUUUGGCAUGUUUUCACAAUGAAGUUAUCGGAUAGAUCAGAUUCUUCUUCUUCUUCAGCAAAAAGCUGCCAUUAUGUUAAGACUACAGUAUUAGUGUCAUGGCCCUUACUGAAUAUCUUGAAGUUACUUAAAGAAGCUUUAUAUGACUGUCUUGAAGAGCCUUUCCAACAUUCAAAAAAGUGCAAACAGGGCUUUGCUUUUGCCACAAAGGGUACUUUCACAGGAAAUGAACAAGUUACGAGCUUGCUAGUGUCACAAUGUUAACAAUGCAUGCUAACCACUAUUAUGUUAAUAUUAAAAACAAGGGACAAUAACCAAGUUACUAUGAAAGGGGUUAGUGUGGCCCAUCAUUUUUCAUGAAAAUGAACAAUCUUACCUUGUAAGAAGUGAAUAGUAGGAUCAAGGCCAACAGCAGAUUCACCGCCUCAAAUUUCUACAAAACAUGAGAAUAUCGUAACAGUUAAUAUAAUAUGGCAACAAAAAUUAUAACCAGUGUUUAGCAUGAGAGAAUAAUUGACCUCAAUGGUAGCUAUUCCAAGGACGAUCAUCGCAGCCCGAAAGACCACUGCUCCAGCAAUACCAUAAGAAAGCACUCGGUUCUUGUUUCAGAUAUCAGAAAUGGUGAGAAAAGGUACAAAGUACACUUGAACCUUAACUGUUACAAUAGCCAUCAAGCAUACCUGGUAUUCCUUUGGCACUUUGAAAUACUUGAAAACCAGAACAAAAACAAAGAGAUUGUCCACCGACAAACUCUGUUCCAAUAAAUACCUGUUACAUAACAGGACAUGAUUACAAUGAUAUGUAUAGAGUUUAAGAAAUGUGUUAUCAUGAUCGAUCUUGUUAUAUAAAAUUUGAUACAAUGGAAAACACGUCUUCAAAUAUGCAAAUUAAUAGUGUUUAAAGAAAUGAUAUUGGAAUAUGGAAACAGCAAGAUGGCAAGAUGUACGAUUAGUUCAGCAGUCAGAAGUAACUAGCCAAAUUAACUGCACAAAACAAUGGAGGAUCCGUUCGAUAACGAACUCAAGCUAAAGCUAAUAUGCAGUGCUGUGCUGCAUACUUCUUAAAGGGGCUGUUAUUCAUAUAUGAUCCUGAAAAUCCUAAUGCAAAUGGGAGCAAAACUUAUAACCAUUUUGUAAACCAGUGUCGAUGUUAAAGAUCAUGAGAUACGCAUAGCACACACCCAGCAAAAUACUCCGAUGCCUUUUCAGAUCCAUCCCUCAAGGCGAUGCUAAUUCCAAAGAGCACUGCAGCGAGAAUCUGCACCAACCCAUAUUAACUCCAUGUACAGAAUAAACUCUAAGGUGUAUCGGAAAAAUUAUGGACAGAGGAAACUCACCACCAGUGUAACCCUUCUAAUGGCCGAACCUUUCCCAGUGAUGCUGGACUCCAGUACAGGCUCCGUGCCCUUGUUAGUUUGAGCACGUGGUGGAGUAGAAUUUACCGGCUCCUUUUCUGCAUACGUAUCCAUGGUCAGCCAUCAGAGAGGAAUUUCACGAAGUCACCACACGAAUAAGCUCAGCAUAUAGCUUGCUCUGGACUUUGAUCACUGUAAAUCGAUUUUUGAAGAAUCUGAUUUCAUUAGGUUCUCAAUUCCACGAGUUAUCGCGCAUUUCUAAUACUCCAGGUUCCAACAGAACAAAGCGCCCCUGGCUGGCAGGCUCACAGGAGCAGAGUGAAGGAAUUGGGCGGCGAGGAGGAGAGGGGAGGAGCGGCUCACCGGAGCUGAGCGAGACGCCUUCCUCCUGCUCGGCACCCCUGGCGCGCCGCCUCCGCGUCCUCCCCCGCCGCCCGCCCUCCCCGUCCCCAGGGCGGCGCGACGCGGCGGCCACCCUAACCGCGAGAGGCCGCCACGGGAGCGGCGAUGGCAGGAGCGCCACGCGAGCGCGACGCAGCAACGGGGCCGAUAGCUGCGGGAGGAACCGCGUGGCAGUCGAAGCGGCCACCGCGGAAGCCAUCGCCGGCGACGAGGUUGGUCGUCGGGGGUGAGACGGGUGGAGCUCGGAAGCGUACGGCCGCGAGCUCAGCCACAGCGGAUGGGAACUGGGGGGAUGCAGCCACCGAAACGGAGCGCACGUGCGCGCCCGGAACGAAACCCGUAACCCGUUAACGAACCCGAAACCGCUAGGCCGGCCUCUACUACUGGCUGACAGGCCCGCUAGGCUUGGCAUUCACGAUUCGCGAGUCGAGGGUUUCUCUCUUGCACCGCGGCUAGCUACCUCUCGAGUCUCGACGCCGCGCGAUCCUUCCGAUUCCAGGGUUUGCUCCGCGAUUCGAGGUUGGUUUCCUCCGAUUGAUGUUGCCCGAGGCCCUGAUUCUGGAAUUUCUGCUGAUUUUUCGUUUAUUCCGGUGUGAUUUUAGGGGUUAGCCAGAUGGGGGACGGGGAGCAUAGGGUGGGGGAAGGCGAAGAGGCUGGCGGCGGCGCAGGGGCGGCCACGGCGGCCCCGAUGAGGGAUAUACGGCGGUACAGGUGCGAGUUCUGCGGCGUGGUUCGGUCGAAGAAGAGCCUGAUCCGCGCCCAUGUCCUCCAGCACCAUAAGGUAGUGGUGAUGCUCAUGGCACCGUCACUUGUUUUGCACUUCAGAUGCGUGUUUCCUUUGUGAUUGGAAUAGUACUUCUGUUCUGUAGGAUGAAGUGGGUGAUCUGGAGGAUUACCAGGAAGGUGGAGGCAGUGCUUCGCGCAAGGAGGUCACCCAUGGCUGCAAGGAGUGUGGCAUGAGCUUCAAGAAGCCAGCCCAUCUGAAGCAACAUAUGCAGAGCCAUUCACUCGAGGUAUUUUGCUCAUGUUGGGUUGUAGUAUAUGCUCAAUGAAUGCUCAGGCUAGUAAUAUUCAUCUGAUUCAUUAUCCAGUGAAUAUCCUCUGUGAGAAAAAGCCAAAAUGAAAAGUACAGGCUCUUCUGGUGUGGUUGCUGCAAGCCUGUUUUAACAAUUGGUUCUGUGGUUGACUAGUAGUUCCAUUGGGCUGUGUAUCCAUGGCCUUGUUGGGUUCUUGUGUAUGCUAGUUUAGUCCAUUAGUUAUUAAUUAUUCUGAUUUCUACAGUCUGUAUGUUCAGAUAUGGAUGUGUGAAGCAUUGGAUCCCAAAGAACUCCAAAAUGCGAGAAGGGCUUGAAUGGACUAGUACCAGGAUGGGGAGACCCUCCUGAGAAGCUCCAUCAAGAGUGCCUCUUUCACGCUGUUCUUCAGGUUGUCUCUUCUGUUCUGAGCUACUUGCUAUUUGUUUCUUUCUGUUGCUAUUACGUGGGAUAUGCUAAAGGUCCACUCUCAGCAUGGAAUGUCUUUUUUGAGGAGUCGUGUGUCUACCUUAUUAGUCAUAUUUGAUCAUUGACAGAUUCACGCUACAACGCCAUUUGAGUAUAUCUAGCCAUUACAACCCGACAGUCUUCUCAUUAUCGAAUAGUAAAACAAAUAGGGAAACAUAAUUUCUUGUAUGAAGCCAAUAUAUGCUGAACUUAAGCUAUGUGUUUAUUAAAAUGAUCAGAUCUCAACGUCCUACAGUGGAAAUGAUAUAUUUCAUCCUAGAUCCAAAUUAAUUAUCAUUUGAAGUUGAGGUGUUUGGAUAAGUAGUAGUUGCUGUUCGGCUCUGCUUUUGGUUGGGAUUGUUGUAUGGCAGUUGAUUCUCUGAUUUUUGCAGACUACCUACUGAGAUAUAAAAGUGUGAAGCAUUGGAUCCCAAAGAACUCCAAAAUGCGAUAAGGCCUUGAAUGGACUAGUAUCAGGAUUGGGAGACUGUCCUGAGAAGCUCCAUCAAGAAUGCCUUAUUCACACGCUUCUUCAGGUUUGCUCAUUUGUUUCAACUUGCUUAUUCUAAGAUUUUCCUUUUGUGCCUGCUGUUGUUAUUUACAUGUGCUUUAUAACUGUACUUUCUAUGUAUUUUCAAGCUACAUAAAGUUCAUGUCGUAGCAUGCCCCUCUGUGGUACUGUUUGCUGCGCUAUUACAUUAUUUCUAGCAAACCUUGCUUUGUAUACUAUAUUGAUGCAUGCCUUCUGAUAACUAUUGCAGAGGCCCUUUGCCUGCCACAUUGAUGGUUGCCCCUUAAGCUAUAGUAGGAAGGACCAUUUGAACAGACAUCUACUUACUCAUCAAGGGAAACUAUUUGUGUGCCCCAUUGAAGGAUGCGACCGUAAGUUCAAUAUCAAGGGUAAUAUGCAGAGACAUGUUCAGGAAAUGCAUAAAGAUGGUUCUCCUUGUGAAAGCAAGAAAGAAUUCAUUUGUCCAGAGGUUAACUGUGGGAAGACUUUCAAAUAUGCUUCCAAGUUAAAAAAGCACGAAGAAUCACAUGGUGAGAAACUCACUUUGCAGCCAUUUCCAUAUUUCUGAUACUGACUCUAAAUAGCACACUUUGCAACGCCCAAUGAAGUUUUUAUAGUUUAUUGAUUUUACUUGGAAGUAAAAACUUCUAGUCUAUUCCAUCCUUUUAGCCAACUUUACCAAUAUGAACUCUCUGUAAUCUCUUACUUCCUCCAGUCAGGAGAAUUGUCUCUUCCGAUAACAAAACUGAACUGCAACUAGUACAUAUGCUCUGUUUGAAACGUCUUAUUCUCUUGAUCAGAGGGAAAAUUACCAAAGUUGACUUUGUUGUGAUGAACUUUUGGUACAUGUGGUGCAGUCGAGCUGGACUACACAGAGGUUAUCUGCUGCGAACCAGGCUGCAUGAAAACUUUUACAAAUGUGGAAUGCCUCAAAGCACAUAACCAAUCCUGCCAUCAACAUGUUCAGUGUGAUGUCUGUGGCACUAAACAACUAAAGAGGAAUUUCAAGCGCCAUCGCCAAAUGCAUGAAGGCUCCUGUGUUACUGAAAGGGUUAAAUGCCACUUUGAGGACUGCAAAUGUUCAUUUUCAAAGGUCGGGUUUGUAAUCUAACACUGUUUGAUUCUCUUAUGGUUUGUUCUCUCGAUUUUAUUGGCAAAAGUACUUUGCUACUCAUUCUUGGUGAACUUGGAACUGCAGAAAUCCAAUUUGGACAAGCAUGUUAAGGCAGUUCACGAGCAGCGCCGACCUUUUGUGUGCCAAUUCUCUGGGUGUGGCAAGAAGUUUUCUUACAAGCAUGUAAGGGACAACCAUGAGAAGUCUAGUGCUCAUGUGCACACCGAGGUAACACUAACACAGAUAACCAGCCAAUAACAAUUUCGAAAAAAAAAGUCUAUAUUGUGCCCUUCCCCUUUGGAAAUGCAGCUUGCAAUGGGAUGUUUAUGGUUUCCUACCAAUUGCUUGCAGGGUGAUUUUGUUGAGGCUGAUGAACAGCGACCGCGUUCAGCAGGUGGCCGGAAGAGAAAACCUGUAUCUGUCGAGACUUUGAUGCGUAAAAGGGUAGCUGCUCCUGAUGACGCUCCUGCUCAUGUUGAUGGAACCGAGCAUCUGAGAUGGCUUCUCUCCGGUUGAUUCGUCUUGGACCCGCAGGGAGAAGAGAUGGCAGAUAUAUUUGGACGCGCCAGCACACUUCUGUAAAUUGAAAAUAUCCGUCGUGUUAGGAUGUAUAGGAAGAGGAAAGCAACGUGUUAGGUAUUUAUAUAAGGUUUCAGACAUGGUAGAGAUUAUUGUAUCUUCAGUAUGAACACAAUGUGCCAUAUUCGAUCUUGAUUUGCAAAUAUGGAAGCUCGUUAUGUUUAGAUAUUGUGUCUUGAAAUGCUUUAAGCUUCAGCACAGCUUGGAAACAUGAUUGUUGCUACUCCUUGUUUUGAGCUAGCUUUUGCCUCUGCUAUGUUCCUGUUGUUCCAGAGCAUCAGGGUUCACGGAUUCAUGGCCUCGUUCUCUUGAAUCUGUAACUUCAUUACAGCAAAUGCACCCACCAAUUUUUUUUUCCGAAUAAAUACACCAUAUCAAUUAGCAAUUUAGCAACCAUCUUUGCAUGAUGGGAAGCACUGAACGCUCUAGCAUACAACACUGGUGAACAGAGUACUGCACAUUACACUUUCUGAGGCUGGUUUCUGAACCAGCAAUGGCCAUUCAGCAUCACUCCAAUUCCAAAAUCGAGUUCAUGAACAUGACAAUGCAUCAGAGCAAUGUGCCGUUAUGAUUUAUCAGUUUCUCUACUACAUGUAUCCCAAACCGAGAACAAAUUUUGGCAGCACAAAGAAAAAGGAAGCUUCUUUUAAACCAAGCCGCGGCUGCAACAUACAAGAACGCAGAGCCAGAGUGAAACGAACGCCAAGAAACCUCGUCGACGGAUCACUUCACCGCCGGCUCCGUCGCCGGCGCGGCCGCCUCUCCCUCCUGUGCCAGCAUGGCCUCCUGUCGCGCGCGGAGCACGGCGAGGAGGUUGACGGCGGGCAUCUGGAGGCAGCCGAGGAGGUACUGGUAGGACUGCGCCCUGGUGGGCAUGGCCUCGAGCUGCGCGAAGUCGUCGGGCCCGUACAGGCGGCCCUCGUAGACGGCGCCGGUGAAGUCGUUGAGCUGCAGCUUCCACUCCUUCUGGAAGUCGCGGUAGGGCUUGAGCGCCGGCGGGAUCUCGUCGGAGCGCACGAAGAGCCACGCGUUCAUGCCACGCGCGCAGGGCUUGAGCGCCUCCCACCGCGUCCCCGCCACGGCCGCCGCCAUGUCGGAGUUCUUCGUCACCACCAGCCGCGCCGUCGGGGGCAGCGACGCCCGGAUGCUCCGCAGCUGCGCCACCGUGAGCCCGUGGCACCAGAUGCCCGCCAGCAGCUGGCACCCGUCCAGCUCGCGCCGGAGCGCCUCCUGGCGGACCAUCUCCGCCGCCCCGCGGAUCGACGGGGCCAGGGACGCGGCGGAGCUGCGCAAGGACGUCAUCGGCGGCGGCGGCGAGGGUUCUGUCUGGAUGCGAGUGUGCGAUCUCUUGCCUCCGAGGACACAGAUUAUGGGUCGGGCUUCCUUUCUUUCUACUGCCAUAUGACUGAUUAAUUAAAAAAGCCCAAUACACGCAGUAAUGGGCUUGGAAGAUUAAAACCCGUUAUCCAAUCAGUUCCAUUUGGAUGCAGGCCUGCUGGAUCCGGCUUAUUAGAAUUUUUUGUUUUUAUAUUUUUUAUUUUAAUAUUUUGCAAAAAUAUAUAUCCUAACAGAAAAAAUUACAAAUAUAUACCUAUACCGCUAUUACAAAUAUAUACCUAUACCGCCAUUUGAAACGGCUAUAAUCAAAUGAACGGCGGAAAGUAUGCGGUAGAAUCGGCGGUAGGUUCCUCCUCUGGGCAGUAUACUUUCAAAAAAUCAUUACUAAUUCAUAUGAACUCAUAUGGAGAUAAACUUUGUAUAAAAAUUGUAGAUCUCGAUAAGAUCUACAACUUUGUAGUUCAAACUUUUUUUAUUUGGUAUCAUUUUGAUGCUCAAAUAAUCAACACAAGCUUCAUAUCUAAAAUUCAAAUUUUAGAUCUGAAACUUGGCAGCACACGUAUAAAAAUCAUAACUAAUUCAUAUGAAUUAAGAUAGAGAUAAGUUUUAUAUAAAAAUUAUAGCUCUUGAUAAGAUUUAUAACUUUGUAGUCAAACUAUCUUCAUUUGGUGCUAUUUUUAUGCUAAAUAAUCGACAAAGUUUUAAAAAAAGUUUCAUUGGGAUCCAUCUCGAUGUCAUUUUUCAAACGGCGGAAUUGGUAUAGAUUUCUAAUUUUUUUAUUAGAACAUAUAUUUUUACAAAAUAUUAAAAUAAAAAAUAAGAAAAAUUCGCCUUAUUGCAUUGCAUGGGCCUAUUACAAGCCCAAAAGGUUUCUUGAGUUGGGCCUUAGGUUGAAUACACUGACGGCCUGAAUACACACUGAUCAGACUAUCCGUGAGUCUGGGUGUUGGAUCCAUUUAUCACAGCACUAUUUUUGUCCGACGUCCUUUUUUUUUAGUUUUUUGAAUUCCGGCUGCGCACGAGCCAUACGCUCAACCAUCCAUUACUAGUUUAUUACAGAUUUAUGACGUCAACAAAUAAUAUUGUGAUAAUUAAUUAGUGCCAACAAAUGGAUAUAUAAUGUGCAAGUGGUGGCAACAAAUUGUUAUGUGUGUAUGAACAUGUAAAGGUGAUGUCCAAUGGAUCACUAAAACAUUUAGCCAAGUAAACUGAGAAAAGCAUCAUUAAAUUUGAUCAAAGGUACGUUAAUCAUGUCAUAUAUUUCUGCCUUUUUACACAAAUAAUAUUUGCAGAUAAUAAGAUGAAUGACCAAAUAUUGAAUAGCAAAAUAAAAGGUGCCGAAAUUACUUUGAAAUAGACGCCAGUACCGCUGUGUGGCUAAUAUGCAAAUGGUGCACCUAGUAUGGUCCAAGGAUUGUUUUUUCUUGAAAGAUUUCCGUAUUUCUAGCAUAUACAUGCAUGCAUUUUUCAGGAUUUGCAUGGUCCCUCCUGCAUUGCAAACUUCCAAAACUCUGAAGAAACUUCGUCAAGGAAUAAGGAUAAUAUCACUCGACCGCACAGUGCUACACGUGUGAAUCCAAUGACGACGGCAAUUUUGAGAGUGACAGCAGGCGAGAGAGGCGAUGCCGACGGAUGGUUUGUGUGGUGCUGCGUCUCCGUCAACUGAAAUGCUAGCUACAUCCAUUGUAGGUUUUCUGCUGAAGUGAUUGACGUAUCGUGUCAGACGAGGUUAACAAAGAUAUAUAUACACAUGCAUGUCCAACCAAAUGGCUACAACUAAGACGGCGAUUUACUUUUUAGCUGCCACGUAUUUAGAUAUUUCAAUGGUUAAGUGCACACCCUUAAUUAUACUUCAUCUAAAAUUAAAAUUUGAUGUAGUGUGUCGUUUUGACUUUUCUAGAUUUAUAAAUUUUGCUACGGAUAAAAGCUAUGAAUUUAGAAAAGUCAAAACGACCUAUAAUUUGGGACGGAGGGAGUAGCAAGGAGGAUCUUAAAUUUGUUGCUAGUUGUUUCCUAAAAAAAACAAAGUUGCUAGCUGCCAAUAAUUCAUCAUGCUUAGUUAUUACGGCUGAUUAUAGCAGCUUAUCGUAGCACAUAAAUUAACCUGAACUAAAUUCUCUACGGCCGGCCAAUCCUGAUCUAGUAUCGUACUGCUAAAGUUAUACUACAACUGGCUUUAAUCUGUCUCAUCAACUGGAUCAGAAAAUAAAAAAAGAGAGUUUAAAACUGAAAGAAUCAGCAUCAGAUCACCAAUCGAGGCAUUAAGAAAUGCACAAGCUGGUUCAAGUUACAUCUGUCAUCUGACUCUCUGCAUGUAUUUUAUAUUAGCUUUGCAGCAGCUUGGUUGAGCAGGUUGAUGGACGCCUUACUACAAUCGAUUAGUAUAAUAUAUAGUUAACUUGGCAGGAAUUGAUAUGCAUGUAUGAUGUGGAGUACAAAGUUUAAGACCAUCUAUCACACACACAUAAGACCAAAGGUAGGCUUAGUACUAAUCAUGCUGUUUAGAAAAGUAUGGCAGCAUACUAAAAGAAGCAGUACACAUGUACCAUUACAUGUGUAGUGUGCAUGCAUUGCUCUUUUCACAGAGUAGAAAAGAUUAUCCCCACCCAACAAAGAGCGUUCAAACAAUACACAGGGCUACUUUUAAAAAGGAGCUCAACUGAUCCUUCGAGUACACCUAAUACAAGGAAUCAAUCACACCAACAGAGGAUAAACAAAUGCCAUUAGGGCUCCGGGCUUAAUAUAGUACCAGUACCUGCCUGAUUUGUUUUAUGUUGGCCCAUAAUACAUGUCAUGCAACAAGGUUGUUAGAUUAUUACUAUCCGAUUGGGAAUUAACGUAAGCAGUGACGUAAUUCGGCGAUGCAUAAAAUAGCAAUAUAUUUCCUCUCGGAGGAGGAAUGGAAUCAUGCCAAAAGCAGAGAGAGAGAGAGAGAGACCCACACCACAUGGAAGAAAACAAGGACACCUCCAAUCCUUAAAAAAUCCAAAUAGGAUGUUGUCAAUUGCCCUCUCAUUAUCGCUUAGGCCACACACAAUGCCUUACAAGUCACUAGAGCCGUCACUGACAUCCAACACCCACACAAAUUCUAAGGAUAGAUCUCGAUUCCCUGAAGGUGGGCAUUAAAUUUUCCGUCAUUUUCUUGUUUGACGUAGCUCAUAUAUAGAUCACCACUUUAUAUGUUAGUCGAUUAUGCCUUUUGUUUUCUUUUCGAACGCCAACAUUACAGGGUCAAGCCGACAUUUUUAACAGAAAUUAUAAUUGGCAUUAGUUGAAAAUGGCACAUCAUACAUACAACUUGUUGUUUGAUGCUUAAUUAGGGUUACUAUAUUCUCUAUCUUGGUGUUGCAAAUGGGCGGUUGUGCUCUCAACUUUGCGGCUAUUUUUUCGAUGGUACCUGAUGGUCGUUUGUCGGUGAUCUAAUGGAUGAGUUGUUCUUUGAAUAUUUGUAUGGGUCCUUUCUAGGAGGGAAUAAUGAAGGGACAGACUUACAGGUAUCAACAUGCUACUUCUCACUUAGCUAUUGUUUAUCUGAUGUUUCAGAAUCCCUGCGGUCAGAUCUUUAUUAAUUGUUGACAAGUCGCCUGGACCACGUACUGUUAUAACCAACGAUCGCCACAUAAUACAUCUCGUCCCUCAAGAUAUGCAAGGAAAUCAUAUGUACUAAAAAACUAAUAAGCCUUAUUGAUCAAGCUCUUUUCUUAUUAGCAGAAAAAGAAAAGGAGGAGAGAAAGGCCGGCACGAUUUGUAUACAUGAAAAAUAUAACAUUUAUAUACCUUCAAAGAAAAGGAAGGUCAAUAUGCUUCUGUGUUUUUUUUUCCUUUUUGUUCUUGUAUUCUUGUCUUCCCUUGCUCCUUCUAAUAAAAAUUACGGCAAAGCUCUUGCCGCCUCGUUCAAAAAAAAAUGCUUCUGUUGUGACAAAAUAUUAUAACAAAAGCAUCCUGAAUCUCAAAGCUAUAGCACAACUCCCCUUGGUAAAUAAACAUAUAUAAUCUUGCACUUGACAUUUAAUUUCUUGGUGGAUUGAAAAGAUCUCAUGCAUACUAAUGUUGCUUAAUUCCAUAGUAAAGUAAAGUUGAUGCCGCCUCCUUCCUCCCCAUCAGAACAACGAAAUGUAUAAUGGCCAACUUGUGUGCCGCGGUUAGUAUACAACUUCAGAGGCACAUGGAGACAAGUAAAAAAGAUAUCCAAGGGAGCCAGGGGAUUGGUUCUAGUACUACAUGCCAUCUUACCACAUGGAUACACUGCACCUAUGUUGGUGUGCAGCAUUUCUAUCAUCAAGCAAUUCCAGCAUUGAGACCAUGAUCGAGAGAGGGAAUGAAUCGAUGAACAGGGGGGCAGAGCUCGAAUCUCGAUGCGCCCUCGAGUUCAAAAGGGAAUCUACCUAAGUAAUCUAGUACGCAUCUAGUGGGCUUCAAAGAAUUGUGUCCUCUCAAUGACGGAUUCCUUUGCUUUUCGCCGACAGUAGCUGUCGGCAUUUCUCGCGCGGUCAUUUCCUUGACAAAAGUUUUCAGGGACGACGACGGCAGGGUCAGCAACAUUAUGACCAAGGUAAAAAAAAAAAACUUGAUCGUCUCUGACGGAUUUCAGUUGACAUGAGCAACAUGAAAGGUUUAUCUCAGUUGACUAUAAAAAAAAUGCAGUGUCAUAUAUGAUUUCUAACACAGAUGCAAGCAUAUAUCCUUUGCGCCAAGUAUUAAUGCGUCAGCGUCCAUUCGAGCUAGUAAAUUGGCUCUGUGCAAGAACAAACAACGACAGGACGAGACAGCAGGCAAUUGGAUCCAAAGCAAAGACAAGAAUCGAAUUGACAGCCAAGAAAGAAACUGGAAUAUUAAUCUUCCAGCUGAGCUUUUUCCACAAGUAGUGGGCAUGCAGGGCUUUAUGAUUAUUGAUACCUAUACUUCUGUUAACAGUUUCAGAAAUGAUUCUCUACACAAUAUUGUAUAAAUCGAUCUCAGAUGUUGAAGUUAGUCAAUCUCAGGUGUGUAAAGAGAGAAGCAUUUCACGUGGGCAGUAUGAGAAUACAGUUGAAUCCAAUCCACUACAAGAAACCACCCCGGCGCAAAACCGAAAAAGUUGCAACGCCCAGAGGGGGAAAAAAUGCCAGCUUCCCGGCAAAUUUACAGCGUGGCUUCUUGGUUUUUCAGCGGUGAUGAUGGCUCGACGACGACGGCGGGUCGAACCGGGGGGAGGCAGAUGGGGUGGCGGGGGCAGCUGUCGUGGCGGUAUUGGAGAAUCCUGAUGAUGCUGCAGCGGACGAUGACGACGACGAGAAGAGCGGCAAUGGCAGGGUGGGAGGAGGGGCUGUCAUUUUCCAUGCCCAGCUGGGAACACCACUUCCUGUGCCCCCCUCUGGCCUCCUGUUAAUAUCCCUUGAUGCACCCUGCAUAAUGCAACAACAGUUUGUUCAUCAUGCUUACAUCCUAAUAUGGGAUGGAUUGAGCUUCCAAAAAAACUUGAUGCAGGAUGGAUGAAUUCAGGAACAAAUUGAACAGUUAAAUCCUAAUGCUUUCUGAUGGAAGCCUGUUCCAAAUUAGUCUUUCCAUCAGUUCAGUUGGACAGAAAGCCGAGCUUCAAACGUCAAGCUCAAACUUUCCGUCCAAUAGUAUCGGAAAACGACACAUGUGAACCUGACCUUAAAGUUUUGGAGCUGAAAGGUUCCACGGUUCAAUUUGACCAAACUCUGGAGUUGAAUAGUAAAAACAUGCUUGUUUGAAACAAACGGCAAAUUUAGUACUUCUGUUCUAUAAUAAUUGCAUUAAACAUGGUAAUUCAUAAGUGUUUUUUUUGUUCCCACGGAAAGUUUGAAUAAUAGUCACACUUCUAUAACUGGCAAUACAUGAAAAGGAACCAUUCAAAGGUUUUUUGGCCGCAGACAGGAAUAGUUGACCAAUCAUUUGAGUAGCCUAAUGUUGAAUUCUCGUUGGUCUAGAUGUUCCUUUUAAAGGAAAAAAAUCAAACAUAUCUCUAUUCGUAAGGCUGCUAAUACAAUUAUUCCCAGAUUAGGCAAACUCAAGAUAUUCAAAACCCUAUAUGAAACAUUGUGCUGCGCAUUAAUAUCUCCGAAAUCGACAUGGACCAGGUGGACUAUAGAAUUCAAGAAAAUGAAGCGUUGAUGUAAGACUAGAGCCAAAUUGACAACCGCACAAGAAAUGCAACUUGAUGAAGCCAACUAAAAAUCUUCAGGCUGCACAAUUUGCUCAUCGGAUGGUCAAGAUCACAUGCCAGAUUUUCAUAAUACGGACAAUUUGACACAAUCAUGUGAUGCUCUGACAAUACUUGCAACUAUAAGAUUUAGGGAGCUAAUUUAAAUGCCCUCAUUUCAGUAAUUUAGUAUCGCCUAACCUCAUUAUUUGUAAAGAAGGGGUGAGAUUGAGCAGGCCAGAUUGGUGGAUGCUCGGUCAUAAGAGGGAACCGAUGAGGACGGCCCGCCAGUUCAGAGGGAGUAUCAAUCUGCAUCAGAAGCAAAAGAUUUUUCAGUUGAAUUAUGGAUACCUGCAUAUUUGUCCACGCUCUAUAUAUAAUUCCUUAAACAAUUCAUUUUGGUAGGGAAAAAAAUGUUCUGCUCAGCUGUCAUGAUCACUCUGAAAAGAGAAACUUGUUACUACGCGAUAAAAUAAUUUGCCUACUUCCGACUUGAGAGGGCAGUCAAAUGUAAACAGGACAACAGCUGUAGAAAUAGGAUCUCCGACGUAAACUAUUAAAAAGACUUGAUCCACAAGAGGCAUAGUAGUCACGUCACUAGCAUGGUGAGAGCGAAACUUGGGUUAUUUUACGCAUGGUGCAUCAGGUAGCCACUAGAAUUCGACAAGAAAAUUUUACUGCUUUUGAUACUUGUCAAAGGAGAGCCUGAGCACUUGCCUUUGUUCUUUUCAAUUCGGAGCCCUCAAAUGAUCCAUGGUGGAGUUGCAGACCGAGGGAGUUCUUAUCUCUUUUCGGGCUCUGAGAUGACGGUUGAGAUAUGCUCAAGUUCAGAUCUACAUCAGCGCCUGCAGAAGAACAAAAAAAAAAUCAAGUUUAUUCAAUACCUUGGUUCAAACAAGUUCAUCAGCUAAUAACUUUAUCUGAAGAUUAUGAGAAGAGUUUCUAC
rnacentral:lncRNA from 1 species